UUGAUAAUAAGUAAGGUUAGGGGAAGAAGCAGGUCGAUCCAUCUCGGUGUUAAUAAUUUUUUUUUGAGUUUUUCAUUCGUGUUGUGCUCAUGUUCAUGUCGUACAUCGGGUCGGCAGAUGAACCGUUCUUGUCAUGUACGUAAGUUGGGUCUCGUUUUUCGCUUUGGUCAGUCAAUCAUAGGAAGGAAGGAAAAGGGUGAAUGUUCAUCGAUCAGGCUAUGUGAUACUGAUACAUAAUAUAUAUGUCUCUGAUUACUCACACUACUUGAAUUCUACUCCAUGUUCCAUGUCUCAUCUUCUUGGUAUGUCUCCAUGAUCACCAACUCAUGCAUCGUGGUGCUGCCUGAUGAAUUGUUUCUUUUGCUAUCCCGAUCAUUGUGUGCAACCUAACCAACCUUUGUGUUAGGUACAUUAACGAACUAGCUGGUUAACCAGUGUUAACACGUUGAGCACCCGCACAUGCGUUGUUGCACCGGCCGGUACAUGCAUGAACAAGCACACGCCAUCCGAUCUUUCUUCGGCUAAAGUGCGAUAGCAUAUCCAUCCAUGAACAAGCUAUAGUGGCCGACGAGGUCGAUCGGUCGAUGGAGAGCAAACUAGGCCAUCAAUGGCGAAAAAGCAAUGUGCCCGGCGGUGCGGAAAUGUGUGUGUGUGUGUGUGGGCGCGCGCGCGUGCCGUGCGUCGUGGCAAACGUGUCGACGUCCGAGACCAAGGGGUCGCCGUCGAUGGAUAUGUGUGUGUAUCGGUGGUUGCGGCGUCGCUGUCCGUCGACCGCCAUGUUUUCAAUUGCUCCAGGCGUGCAAACGUACGUGCGUAGGCUGGUGGAUGAUCACGCAUCAUCAUCAUGUACGCACCCAAGGCAAAUCAUUGAUGCGUGUCCAGGUGUAUACAGUGUACUUGUAUCAUUGGAACUUCGGACUGACGGAAGUUUGCAUGCAUGACUCCCAUCGAGCUGCCACGCUGGAUCAAUGAAUUGCACCCUUGCACAACAUGGUGAUUUUUCUUUUCUUUUCAGUGACACAUAGGCAUUCAUGCAUGCAUGCACACGUGGCAGGGCCUAAUUAGUACUCCCUCUGUCCCAAAAUACUUGUCGGAGAAAUGGAUAAAAUUGGAUGUAUCUAUAACUAAAAUACGUCUAGAUUCAUCCAUUUCCCCGACAAGUAUUUUCGGACGGAGGGAGUAAUAAAAGGUGAAACUGACACGUGUCAUGCUCUGGUUGCUCUGCCCCUAGCUGCUCUCCCUUUUUGUAAAAAAAGAAACACAAAGUUUUUUGAAAUGUGGUUAGUAGCCGUGGACGGAUUUGUUCUGCGCAUCACUUUUGGCGCGCGUGUGUGUCUUUUUGGCCUGGGGAAUACAGGGAGCAAACAAUACUACAUACUUAUCAUAUUUGGGGGUUUUUUCGCGGGUAGAUAUCAUAUUUGUUUUUGGACGCUUUUCAAACUGAAAGUUCAUGCCCCGUUUCUUUCUGCCAAUAGAGUAACUAUAAGAAAAGAAGAGAGGAAAAGAACGUCACGCCUCACCCUCCCACUGUAGGCCCACAUUUCAAGUGCUCAAUAAUGCCACUCUUAUCAUCUACCAACAUAUAUCGCACACUACUAUGUGCACCGGGGAGGCUAUGAUGUUUCCGGCCCCGGAUUGAAUCCAACCCCGGUUCUCGAUCCCGCGUCUUGCCAUCCACCGUUCCUGCACGUCUUAACGGCGAUGGCGACGACAAGGGUCUCCUCUCCUAUACAUGUGUCGCGUUAGGGCUUUUAGUGCUAGUUCUCUUUCACCUGGAAGGGGCACAUGCGGCGCUCCUUGAAGCCACAGAUGGCGAAGGCCGGUGCAAGGGUGUUGGAUGCGCAUGUGCAUCCUUUUCUUUCUGGCGCCGAAGCGAAGAAUUGGGUGAGCAGCGUGGCGACAAUUAUGCCGUGGUUAAAGAUGAUGACCUACUCAGGUCUGGCUGCGGAUUCUUGUGUUGCAGGGGUCUUCUAGCAAGGUUUAGAGAUGAUCACACUGAGCUCCGGAGAUGUUCUUAUUUUACUGGUAGUUUUAGCGUGCUCUUUUUUAUUUUGGUUCUUUGUUUUUUUAGCGACACAUAGGCAUGCAUGCACACGUGGCAGGGCCUAAUAAUAAAAGGUGAAACGGACAGGAGUGGUGAUAAAUAAUAAUUUUGUUCCAGCGGAGCAAAGUCAAGCUACGUACCGGCCGUGUCAUGCAUCUCCAUGGCACUUUGUACACAAAGAAGGAGCAUAGUCUUUUGGACCGUGGAACGACUAAUUUAUUCUGCGUAUAAUUGGUUAGCGCCUUUGGCGUGGUUGUGUACUUGCACUCUUUCACUAAUCAUCAAGCGGAGUACGUACAGCCCUCGUGUCAUGCCCUGGUUGCUCUGCCGCGCUAGCUGCUCUCCCUUUUUGUUGUUCCAAAAAACAUAAUGCUUUCUGUAACGUGGUUAGUGGCCAUGGAUGGAUUUGUAUCACUUUUGGCGCGUGUACGUGUCUUUUUGGCCUCGAGAAUAUGUACCGGGAGCAAACAAUUCUACAUAUGUGUGGUUGGACGCUUUUCAAACUGAUCUUUCUGCCAACAAGAUAAUAACUACUCCCUCCGUUCCAUAAUAUAAAUUCAUCGUUUUUGACGGGUAGUACUUAGAAGAGGAAAGGAAAGAAUGCCAUGCCUCACCCUCUCCCACAGCAGGCCCACACUUCAAGGAGUGCUCAAUAAUGCAUGCCACUCUAUCAUCUAUCAAGAUAUACACUCCCCCCUUCACCUAAAAAAAGAUAUAUACUCCAUCCAACCCAAAAUAAGUGUCACAACUUUGUACAAACUUUUAGAGUAUCACACAUUAGUAUGUGCACCGGGGAGGUUAUGGUGUUAUGGCCCGCAAAUCGAAUCGAUCCCUGGUUCUCGAUCUUGCGGAUUGGCAUCAUCCUUCAUGUCUUAAUGGGGAUGGCGAUGAUGGUGGUGUCAAUCAAGUUCAUCAUGUCGUCAGCGGGUCUCUCGUUUCGUUCUUUGCUCCAGGUCCCGGAGUUCUCCCUCAGCCGAGAGUAUGUUCAACGAGCUCAUGUUCUCGCAUGUUUGGCCGGGCGGCUCGUGGGGCCAAAACCCUAGGUAUAGAACCUCUUUCGUUGAAUGCUUGCGCGUUAGAAAACUUUAGGUAUUCGGGACUCUCGCUCUUUUGUCCAUUGGAUUAUUAUGUUUUGGAUUUUUAUAGUCGUGAUUUGUUCUAGCCGAAAUGCAAUCACGGCCCGGGAGCAGGCAGAGUAGGUGUCAACUCAAAGAAUGUUGCAACCUUUUGCUCACUUUCUUUCUCUGCAAAAGAGUAAAAAGUGCUCAGUUUGAGAUGCUGCUGGUGUGCAUUUUUGUUGCGCGUGCCACCUUUAGGAUAGGACGGGUACUCCUACUACAUUCUGUGGCGCCGCCAACAGAUUGGCAUGCAUGCAAAGGUGGGCAUCGCUUUAUUUCCUGCCACCAAACGUGUAGAGGAGGUAGGAGGAGAGCGGCAGGCACCAAACAACACAAUCAAGUGAUCCACACGUUUUGUGCCCAAGAGAGAGGCCGGAGAACCGGUGAAGGUGGCCCGAAUUGAAACGAGACUAAUGGGCUUGUUCAUUUCGUCAAGUGUGGUUCAGAGGCAGAGAUGAGGAGCUUCUCAUCCUCAUCUCCUUAUCUCUCCCCUGACGACCCAGCUGCGGCAGCCCUACAAGGCUACAAGUAAGCAGUCUGAGGAGAAGCUUCUUAUCCUCAUCUCCUUUAUCUCUGACAACCGGCCCGCACGUGCUGUGCUACUACGGUAGCUUGAUCCUACGAGGACCANNNNNNNNNNNNNNNNNNNNNNNNNNNNNNNNNNNNNNNNNNNNNNNNNNNNNNNNNNNNNNNNNNNNNNNNNNNNNNNNNNNNNNNNNNNNNNNNNNNNNNNNNNNNNNNNNNNNNNNNNNNNNNNNNNNNNNNNNNNNNNNNNNNNNNNNNNNNNNNNNNNNNNNNNNNNNNNNNNNNNNNNNNNNNNNNNNNNNNNNNNNNNNNNNNNNNNNNNNNNNNNNNNNNNNNNNNNNNNNNNNNNNNNNNNNNNNNNNNNNNNNNNNNNNNNNNNNNNNNNNNNNNNNNNNNNNNNNNNNNNNNNNNNNNNNNNNNNNNNNNNNNNNNNNNNNNNNNNNNNNNNNNNNNNNNNNNNNNNNNNNNNNNNNNNNNNNNNNNNNNNNNNNNNNNNNNNNNNNNNNNNNNNNNNNNNNNNNNNNNNNNNNNNNNNNNNNNNNNNNNNNNNNNNNNNNNNNNNNNNNNNNNNNNNNNNNNNNNNNNNNNNNNNNNNNNNNNNNNNNNNNNNNNNNNNNNNNNNNNNNNNNNNNNNNNNNNNNNNNNNNNNNNNNNNNNNNNNNNNNNNNNNNNNNNNNNNNNNNNNNNNNNNNNNNNNNNNNNNNNNNNNNNNNNNNNNNNNNNNNNNNNNNNNNNNNNNNNNNNNNNNNNNNNNNNNNNNNNNNNNNNNNNNNNNNNNNNNNNNNNNNNNNNNNNNNNNNNNNNNNNNNNNNNNNNNNNNNNNNNNNNNNNNNNNNNNNNNNNNNNNNNNNNNNNNNNNNNNNNNNNNNNNNNNNNNNNNNNNNNNNNNNNNNNNNNNNNNNNNNNNNNNNNNNNNNNNNNNNNNNNNNNNNNNNNNNNNNNNNNNNNNNNNNNNNNNNNNNNNNNNNNNNNNNNNNNNNNNNNNNNNNNNNNNNNNNNNNNNNNNNNNNNNNNNNNNNNNNNNNNNNNNNNNNNNNNNNNNNNNNNNNNNNNNNNNNNNNNNNNNNNNNNNNNNNNNNAGCAGAGGGAGAAGUGGAAGCUGUUUCGCUCCCUUCGCUACCGUCUGAUCUAGCCGAGAGCGCCGCCUCCGGCGCAGCAGGAACAACCCCGGGAGGUGGUGAUGGGGAUCCCUGCCCCAGGAUCCAGAUGGCUGCCGAUCCAAAUCGAGGAAGACGCGGAGCUCAUGGAGACGGAGGAGGAAGCGGCGGCGCCGCCGCGACGUGCCAGGGGGUCUUCGACCCCAACCUCACUCCCUCGCCGGUCCCCGUGGUUCCCGAGGCGCUCGCCUCGCAUCCUCGCUCUCUCCCGCCGCCAGUAGGGUGCUCGCCGGCGGGCAACCGUUUCUGGUUGCUGUCCGGCGAGGACGCUGAGGAGGAGGGGGAGGGGGAGGCCUUCUUUUCCGAUUCAGGUACGCCUGCUUAUACUUAUUCAAAAUACUUGGCAUCUACUACUUUAAUUAAAGUAGAUGAUGCUGAUCGUGGUGGAGUAAUUGGGGGAGUUGGGCAUGGCAGUAGAAACAAAUUUAGGAAUAAGCCAAAAUCUCAAGGUAAUAAUAGUGGGGUGAUGAUCUCUAAUGUGAUUCCUAAUUCAGAACAUAGAGGUUUUGGUGAUGAAGUUAGAAUUGGUGGACUGAGCAAUAUGACUCAGGUGGCUGGUGUAGAGGCGGGGAUAGUGCAAAAACACAUGGAGAAAGAGAGGGUUCAUCCCAUAAUCCCUUUUUUUGGGGAAGAGGAUGUGGAUUUGGGGGAAAUUGAGAUGCAAAAUANNNNNNNNNNNNNNNNNNNNNNNNNNNNNNNNNNNNNNNNNNNNNNNNNNNNNNNNNNNNNNNNNNNNNNNNNNNNNNNNNNNNNNNNNNNNNNNNNNNNNNNNNNNNNNNNNNNNNNNNNNNNNNNNNNNNNNNNNNNNNNNNNNNNNNNNNNNNNNNNNNNNNNNNNNNNNNNNNNNNNNNNNNNNNNNNNNNNNNNNNNNNNNNNNNNUCCAAUUGCAAAUUAUUUUGAUGCAAAUAGGGUGAUGGUUGAGGAAUCUGAUCUGGAAAGUAAUUUGAGACCCCUGAUGAUUUUUGGGGGCUCAAUUGGGAGGGAUUUGACUAUGGAUGUGGAGGUGGGCCUACGGUGGUGGAGGCCUGGCGAAUUGGAGCCCAGCCCAACCCAACGAAGGGAUGAAGCUGUGGGGGGUAUAAAGAGGGGGUGGAGAAGACUGGGAAGAAACCCCACUCUCUAGGGUUCCCUCCUAUCCCCCCCUCGCCGCCACAAAAAGAAGCUAUGUCAGGGAACUAUGGUAGAGGGUUUGGAGCUCAGAGAUUCAACAGAGGGGGUGGAAAUGGACAUAUGGAGGGGAGAUUUAACAAUUCUGGGAGAGGGAGAGGAUGGAAUGGAGGGAGACAUGCCUUUCCAGGGAGAUCUGGGGGCUUUGGAAGGGGAGGCUAUCGUUUUGGUCCUGUGGAUGGAAUGGAUAGAGAUACAGAGGAGGAGGAACCCAGAUCUGAGAGGAGUGGAGAGAAUCUGAUGUGGCAAGCUAAAACUAGGAAGAAGGAUGAAGGGGGAGAUCUCACAAGGAUGUUUAGUGGUGAUUCGGAUGUUUCUUUACUGGAAAAGGAGAAGAGGAAUAACCAGAAUUCCCAGUCAGAUCAACAACAGCAGCAGAUGCUUUUGACUUCGCUGCUCUCUCAGCUGGUGCAGGGGAUGCAGAACAGUGAGAAGAGCCUGAUGGUUGGGACAGGUGGCAACCAAAUUGGUAACCUGGUUGGGAAAGAGAGUCAGAGGAAGGAGGAUGGAGAUCCUGAUGGACAGCAAAAAGCUGAUAAGGUUACUGGUCAGGGAGCUGGGUUAGAUGCGAAAAACAGGGGGGAAGAGGCAAUUGGCAGCAAGGUGUUGAGGAGAGCAAGAAGAACUUUGACAGAUUUAGCAAGCAGGUGUGUGGGAAAUGUAAAGAUCCCAGACACACCACCAAAGAUUGCAGGGUGGGGCACUAUUUGAUUUGUGGCAGAGAGAACCAUAUUACUGGGGAGUGCAAUUUGCUGAAACAAAUUAAACCAGUCCCUAAAUAUGUUGGAUAUGCAGCUAAAGGAUUGGGGGUUCUUCUGGUGCAGAGUUAUAAGGAUGUUCUGGUGGCAGAACAUACCAAUCCUUUGGGUGUAGUGAUCAUAAGAGAAGGGAGGAUCAAUGAGACUGAACUAGUGAAGGCCUUGGGAGAGAUGUUUGACUGGGGAUGGCAAUGGAGAGUGAGGGAAUUUGGAAAAAAUGGGUAUAUGAUGAGAUUCCCCAACAAGGCAAAGCUGGUGGAGUUGGCCAAGUUUAAUGAUUUUAAUCCGCUGGGAACAGGGGUAGUGAUCAAAGUUCAGCCCUGGUCCCUUGACCAUCAGGCUGUUGGCAAAAUGCAUACUGUUUGGGUCAGACUGGCCAAAGUGCCAGAUUGCUUUAGGCAUUUCCUAGGGAUUUGUGAGGUGGCUGCUGCAGUGGGGCCUGUCCUGGAGAUUGAUAUGGACACUAUUAAUGAGGAGAAGGUUAGAGCAAAAUGUGGAAUCAGGGAUGUGGAGAAAAUCCCUACUCAAGUAGAAAUUACUUCACUUGGUCUCCUCAUGUUCAGAGUUGAGGUGGAGCCUGAGAAAGUGGUGGAAAUUGGUUGGUACAGGGAAGAGAAGAGGAAAAAUGACAGCAACAAUAUCUCAGAAGUGGGAGAGGAAGAGAUUGACAACAGUAAAAGAACCAGAUUAGAGGAUAAUGAACACAGAGGGGUUUCUUUGGGAUGCUUAUCCCUGAAACAGAGUGAGGAGGUUGACAGUAAGAUUGAAAAAAUGAAAGCCCAAUUGGAGGAAAACAUGAUGCAAUGGCAAAAUAAGAUGACUUUGGAAAAAGGAAGAUGGCAAAAAAAAGUGAAUUCAUGCUUAGUAAAAUAAAAGCUUUGGAGGAAGACAAGAUCAGAAGCAAUGCUUUGUGGGCAAAGAAUGACAACAGGAUCAGAGAGCUGGAGAAGAUUCAGAUAGAGUUGCAGGAGACUAGUAAAAAACAACUAGAAGAAAUACAGAAGCUGGCACAAGAGGCUGCUAAUAGAGAGGAAUAUGAAAGGGAAUUAGCUAAUAUAGACCUUGAAGAUUAUGAGAAAGAGGCUCAAUAGAAAGAAGAUGACACAGACUCUGGGAAAUAUAAUGAGCCCACUGAUUAUAAUGCUAGCCAAGAAUCUGUUGGAACUUUGGGGGAGAAGAUGGCUGAAAUACAUGGAAUUGAGGUUCUAGACAAAGAAGGGGAGGAAAAAGAGGUGGAGAUCAAGAGAAGUCUUAGGAACAAAGGGAAGGAAGAUAAGAAAAUUGAAGAUAUGGCUAAGAGCAGAGCUGAGGAAAGAGACAACUAUGGUAAGAAUUCUGAACUGGUUAUUGCUGAUGCUUCUUUACUACAUAUUAGUUCUUUGGUGGGAAUUGAUUUAGGGUGUUCAAUAGAUAUGAUCGAUAAAAAUAUAGACAUUAUUAACAAGAUGGAAAAAGCUAGAAGAGAGAUAUAUUUCCAGAAUGUUAAAAGAGAGGAAAGGGAAAAGAAAGGGGGGAAAAUGAAGAAGAUGAGAUCUGCAAAAAAGAUGUCCCAGUAUAUAUCAAUACUGGAGAUAUUACUCUUGAGGAACUCUGUUCAGACUAUGAACAUUCUGAUGUGGACAUUGAGGAACAACAAAUGAAAANNNNNNNNNNNNNNNNNNNNNNNNNNNNNNNNNNNNNNNNNNNNNNNNNNNNNNNNNNNNNNNNNNNNNNNNNNNNNNNGCUGAGAGGAAUGUUCUCAGGGAGAAAAAGCAGUAAGAAAUGCUCACCAGCAAUUGACUGUGUGAAGCAGUCAGUUGGGAUUGGGGUCCUUCGAAGGAGAAAAAGAAUUAAGUAGAAAAAUGAGGGGGGUUUUCUGGAAUGUAAGGGGUAUAGGCCAGGAUCACAAAAAAAGGUACGUUAGAGAGAUGAUUGUAGAUCAGAAGCUAGACUUUGUGGGACUCUCUGAGACCAUAAAGCAAGACUUCACAAAAAAUGAAUUGCACAAUUUGUGUGGAGGGAGGAACUUCCAAUGGAGUUGGAACCCACCCAGAGGCAUGUCAGGGGGGAUUCUGAUGGGAGUUAAUAAAGAUAUGUUUAAUGUGGAAAUUAUUGAAAAAGGACAGUAUUUUUUGAGAAUGUUAGUAUUUGAUAAGAAUAUCAAAAUGCAUUGGAAUUUGGUUAGUGUGUAUGGGGAUGCCCAGAAGGAAGGGAAAGCUAGCUUCCUAGCUGAAUUGGCAAGAUUAUAUCAUGAUAAUCCUCUGCCUUGCUUGGUAGGGGAAGAUUUUAACAUUAUCAGAAAUGGGAAGGAGAAAAACAAGCCUAUGCUUAAUGAACAAUGGUCCUUUAUGUUUAAUGCUAUUAUUGAGCAAGCAGGGUUAAGGGAGCUGCCUUUGAAUGGAAGGCAGUACACCUGGGCUAAUAAUCAGGAGGACCCUACUUUUGAGAAGUUGGAUAGAGUUUUGAUGUGCCCUGCUUGGGAGGAAAAAUACCCAUUAACCAUAUUGCAGGCCUUUGCUAGAGAGGUAUCUGAUCAUACCCCCUUGUUCCUGGAUACAGGGGAGACUCGUGAUCACAAAUACAUUUUUAGAUAUGAAAAUGCUUGGAUACUGAGAGAGGGUUUUAGAGAGCUGGUGUAUAACACCUGGAAUGGUAGAUACUUUGGGGACAUGUUAGAUAGAUGGCAAUCAAGGUUGAGAAACCUUAGGAAAAAGUUAAAAGGCUGGAACAGAAAUAUGGAUGCUUGGUACAGAAAAAUAAAAAUGGAAAUAUUAAAAGAAUUGGAUGAUUUAGAUAAGAGAGCUGAGAUUAUGGGCUUAGGUGUGAGAGAUAGGGAUGAUUAGAAAAAGUUGAGAGCACAAUUGAAAAAAGUAAUGUUGCAAGAAGAGGUGAAGUGGUUGCAGAGAUAUAAAGAUUCAGAGAUUAAAGAUGGAGACAGAAAUACUAGAUAUUAUCAUGCCAAGGUGAAUGGGAGGAGAAGAAAAAAUAAGAUUGUUUCCCUGGAACAGGAAGAAGGGUUAUAGAGGGAGAUGAGAAUUUAAUGGAAUAUAUCACCAAAUUCUAUAAAGAAUUAUUUGGACAUCCUGAAGAAUCUAGUAUUUCGUUGAAGGAGAUGGAGAUGAAUAAAAUUAAUGGACAGGAGAAAGAGGAGCUUUUGGCUCCUUUUUCCCUAAAUGAAAUCCAUCAGGUGGUCUUUGGGAUGAAAAGAAACAAAAGCCCUGGCCCUGAUGGGUUCCCUGCUGAUUUUUACCAAGAUUUUUGGGAAGUGGUGAAGUGGGAUCUGAAAUCCUUGGUAGAAGGGUUUGCAAAAGGUGAGAUUAAUAUUGCCAGACUUAAUUAUGGUAUUAUUACUCUUGUCCCAAAAACUAAUGAUGCUAAACAAAUUCAGAAGUUCAGGCCUAUUUGCCUGUUGAAUGUCAGUUUUAAAAUCAUUACUAAAAUUCUGAUGAAUAGAUUGGCCAAAUGUGUGGCCCUUGUGAUUUCCAGAACCCAAACUGCCUUUAUCAAGGGCAGAUACAUUAUGGAAGGGAUUGUGAUCCUGCAUGAGGCCCUGAACUCCUUUCACAAACACAAAGAAGAUGCCCUGGUGUUUAAAGUGGAUUUUGAGAAAGCUUAUGAUAAAAUCAAAUGGCCUUUUGUGAUACAGAUGCUGAAAAUGAAAGGAUUUCCUGAUAAAUGGUGUGACUGGGUGAUGGAAACUAUGAGAGGAGGACAUGUAGGAAUCAGGGUAAAUGAUGAAAUUUGCCCGUAUUUUAAAACCUUUAAAGGACUAAGGCAAGGAGAUGCUAUGUCCCCUUUGCUGUUUGACAUAGCUGCUGAUGCCCUGGCUUGUGUAAUGAGUGAUGCCCUGGAGCAUGAUCUGGUUAAGGGGGUGCUGAAUGGAAAUGGAGAAAAAGGGGUUAAUAUGUUACAAUAUGUUGAUGAUACUAUCUUCUUGAUCAAGGAUGAGGUGGAAAGUGUUAAAAAUCUUAAACUUAUACUUGGGGCUUUUGAGCAGAUGUCUGGGCUCAAAAUAAAUUUUCAUAAAAGUGAAUUGCUAUUAUUUGGCAAAGCUAGAGAAAAACAAUCGACCUAUCAGGAUAUCCUAACGUGUAAGAUGGGAGACUUGCCCAUUAGGUACCUGGGGAUGCCUGUUUCUGAGAAUAGAGUUGGGAACUCACACUGGGAAUGUGUGACAAAUAAAAUUGAGAAAAAGUGUGGAUGUUGGCAGGGGAAGCUACUGGGUUCUAUUGCUGGAAGAAUCACCCUGGUGCAAGCCUGCUUGACUAACAUGCCUUUGUUUAUGAUGUCCUUCUAUGCUGUGCCUAAAGGGAUCAUAAAGAAAGCUGAUUUCUUUAGAUCCAGAUUGGUAUGGCAAGAAGAUGAGAAUGUAAAAAAGUACCACCUGGUGAAUUGGAAAGAGUGCUGUCGACCUAAAGACAUGGGGGGUUUAGGGAUACUGAAUUUAGAGAUUAUGAAUAUUGCGCUCCUAGCAAAAUGGUUUUGGAAAAUGGAAAAUGAAAGAGGUCUGUGGCAGGAUGUUUUGGAUAGAAAAUAUAGAAAAGGGAGAUGUUUAGCUUUAGUAAGCAAGAAGCCUGGGGAUUCCCAAUUUUGGGCUAGUUUGUUGAAGAUCAAGGAAAUAUUCUAUAGAUUUGUUAAGAAAAAAGUAGGGGAUGGGAGAAAUACUAGGUUCUGGGAAGAUACCUGGGUGGAUGAUAAACCUUUGAAAGAGGCUUACCCUAGGCUGUAUGAUAUAUGCUUUGACCACAACAUUACUGUGGAAGAGGCUAUACAGAAAGGGUGGGGGGGUUCAAAUUUAGAAGAACAUUGCAUGGGGAAACUUUAGGGCUUUGGAAUUGUUUGAAAAAAAGAUGUGAGGAAAUUCAUUUGCAGGGAGGGGCGGACCAAGUUCUCUCGACCCUAACUGCAGAUCAUAAGUUUUCUGUGGGGUCCUUAUAUAGGAAAUUGAUAGCAGUUGGGAUAAACUUCCCACAGAAAUACUUAUGGAAAACAAAGUUGCCUGAGAAACUGAAAGUGUUUCUUUGGUUAGUUAAUAAAAAAAGUAUAUUAACUAGGGAUGUGCUGCUUAGAAAAGGCUGGAAGGGUGGGAAAGGAUGUGUGUUGUGUGGGAAAGAUGAAUCAAUUGACCAUUUGUUUUUUUCCUGCUCCACUGCUUCACUGUUAUGGGGUUUGGUCAGAUGUGUGUGUGGAUUUAAAACUGUCCCAUCAAAUGUAAAGGACUGUUUUGGGGGGUGGAUUAGGAAAUUUAAUAAAGAGGAGAAAAAAUGGUUCUGGUGGGGAUUGCAGCCCUGCUUUGGGCAAUUUGGAAAAGCAGGAAUGUAAUUGUCUUUGAAAACAAAAGGAUAAAUGAUCCUUUGUAUGUUGUCAAACUAUUAUGCAGGUGGUUGACUGACUGGUCUGUCCUGCAGAUAAAGGAGUCGUCAAGAAAAACUUUGGAGCUGGGAGCAAGGGUGCUAGAACAUGCAGCAAAUGAGGUGUUCACUGCUAAGCUGGGAUGGAGGAUCAAUGUGGCAAGGCUGGAAUGAAGCUUCUCUUGCGAGGGUGAACCUGAUGUUUGUUGCUCCUGAUGACAGAACCCUUGUGUCCUUUCUUGCUUCUUUUGCUUUAGCUGUAAUGAUGAUUUGGCAGUUUGAACUUAGGGGUUAAUUUGUACUCAGGUUGUUGGAAUUCAUGGUGCUAGGGAUUCCUGGUGGUGUUGGCAGCUGUGUUCUUUUCUGUUCUUUCUCUUUUUUUCGUUUUUAUCUCGCCUGUAGAACUCGGUGGUUUUCAGUAAUGAAAAUCGGAAGGGGCAAGGCCCUUCUUUGAUCAAAAAAAAAUGUUUUUCUUAUGUCCUCCCUCUUGCACGUGUUGUUUUUCUCACCCCCAUCUUGUGUGUCCUUGGAAUGCAGUCCUAGAACUAAGCAGUUGGGUUACUUUUGGAGGAGUACAGAGGGAAAACCAGGCGGGGUGUACCGGUGUAGGACACGCACGGCACUAGCUCCGGGGUGGUUCAGAUCAGACGGCAGGGAUAGAAGAGAAGCGUCUGCCUCAUCCUGACAAGGAACCCACGCAUAGUGUACUGCAGUCAAUCAUCUGCAAGUGCCCUUGGCUUGCACUGCUCACCUUCCUCUCCACUACACGCUCCUGUCACGGCACGCAGACGCAGUAUAUGCAGAUGCAUGCCUCGGAUUGGAACGUUCGUCGCCAUGCACAUAUAUAUGCCCACCCACCACCUACAAUGCGGUUAGUGGCCGUGGAUAGAUUUGUUCGGCGUAGUAUCACUUCUGGCGCGUGAGCGUGUCUUUUUGGCUUGGGGAUUUUUUUUAGAAAAAGGGUAUUACCCCAGCCUCUGCAUAUCAUAUUUGUGCUUGGAGGCGUUUCAAACUGAAAGUUUAUGCUCCGCUUCUUUCUGCCAACAAGAUAAUAACUACUCCCUCCGUUUCAAAAUAGAUAACUCAAAAUACAAAGUUGAGUCAUCUAUUUUAAAAUAGAGGAAGUAUGAGAAAGGAAGAAAAGGGAAGAAUGUCAAGCCUGACCCUCUUCCACGGCAGGCCCACAUUUCAAGUGCUCAAUAAUGCCACUCUAUCAUCUAGUAUCAAGAUAUAUCACAAGUUACGACAUGCAUGGACCGGGGAGGCUAUGAUGUUUUGGCCCGCGGAUCAAAAAGAUCCCCGGUUCUCGAUCCCGCGUCUUGCCAUCCGCCGUUCGUGCAUGUCUUAACGGCGAUGGCGACAACAAGGGUCUCCUAUACAUGUGUCGCGUUAGGGCCUUUAGUUUUAGUUCUCUUCCACCUGAAAGAGGCACAUGCGGCGCUACUCGAAGCCACAAAUGACAAAGGCCGGUGCAGGAUCCUCUUCCUGCAUGUCACUAGUAGAAAAAGGACCUAAUAUGAGACACAUUAGUGCCGGUUUGGUUUUGAGCCGGCACUAAUGUGUCCAUUAAUGCCGNNNNNNNNNNNNNNNNNNNNNNNNNNNNNNNNNNNNNNNNNNNNNNNNNNNNNNNNNNNNNNNNNNNNNNNNNNNNNNNNNNNNNNNNNNNNNNNNNNNNUAGCAAACCCGGCAACGACAUUGAUGUGUACCUAAGGCCAUUAGUGAAGAAACUUUACCAGUUGUGGAGUGGAAACGGUGUACGUACGUGGGAUGAGCACAAAAAGGAGGAAUUUGACCUAAAGGCGUUGCUGUUCGUGACCAUCAACGAUUGGCCCGCUCUCAGUAACCUUUCAGGACAGACAAACAAGGGAUACCACGCAUGCACGCACUGUUUACUUGACACCGAUAGUAUAUACCUGGGAAGCUGCAGGAAGAAUGUGUACCUGGGCCAUCGUCGAUUUCUUCCGACCAACCAUCAAUGUCGAAAGAAAGGCAAGCAUUUCAAAGGCGAGGCAGAUCACCGGAAGAAGCCCGCCAUGCGUACCGGUGAUCACGUACUUGCUAUGGUCAAUGAUUUACACGUAAUCUUUGGAAAGGGUCCCGGCGGACUAGCUGUUCCGAAUGACACUGAGAAUCACGCACCCAUGUGGAAGAAGAAAUCUAUAUUUUGGGACCUAACCUACUGGAAAGACCUAGAGGUCCGCUCUUCGAUCGACGUGAUGCACGUGACGAAGAACCUUUGCGUGAACCUGCUAGGCUUCUUGGGCGUGUAUGGGAAGACAAAAGAUACACCUGAGGCACGAGAGGACCUGCAACGCUUGCACGAAAAAGAGGGCAUGCCUCCGAAGCAGUAUGAAGGUCCUGCCAGCUACGCUCUUACGAAAGAAGAGAAAGAAAUAUUCUUUCAAUGCCUGCUCAGUAUGAAGGUCCCGACUGGCUUCUCGUCGAAUAUAAAGGGAAUAAUAAAUAUGCCAGAGAAAAAGUUCCAGAACCUAAAGUCUCAUGACUGCCACGUGAUUAUGACGCAACUGCUUCCGGUUGCAUUGAGGGGGCUUCUACCGGAAAACGUCCGAUUAGCCAUUGUGAAGUUAUGUGCAUUCCUCAAUGCAAUAUCUCAGAAGGUGAUCGAUCCAGAAAUCGUACCAACGCUAAGGAGUGAUGUGGCGCAAUGUCUUGUCAGUUUCGAGCCGGUGUUCCCACCAUCCUUCUUCAAUAUCAUGACGCACGUCCUAGUUCAUCUAGUCGACGAGAUUGUCAUUCUGGGGCCCGUAUUUCUACACAAUAUGUACCCCUUUGAGAGGUUCAUGGGAGUCCUAAAGAAAUAUGUUCGUAACCGCGCUAGGCCAGAAGGAAGCAUCUCCAUGGGCCAUCAAACAGAGGAUGCCAUCGGGUUUUGUGUUGACUUCAUUCUUGGCCUUAAGAAGAUAGGUCUCCCUAAAUCGCGGUAUGAGGGGAGACUGACUGGAAAAGGCACACUUGGAAGGGACUCAAUAAUAUGCAGGGACGGAUAUUCUUGGUCUCAAGCACACUACACAGUUCUACAAAACUCUACCUUGGUGACCCCGUAUGUCGAUGAACACAAGAACAGUCUGCGCUCCAAACACCCGGAGCAGUGCGACGACUGGAUUACAUGUGAACACAUCAGGACUUUCAGCAGUUGGUUGGAAACACGUCUCAGAGGUGACAACACUGUUUGUGAUGAGCUGUACUUGUUGUCCAGGGGACAAUCUUCGACUGUAAUGAUUUGGAAAGGAUACGAGAUAAAUGGGAAUACAUUUUACACGAUUGACCAAGAUGAAAAGAGCACCAACCAAAACAGCGGUGUCCGCUUUGAUGCAGCAACCGACAAUGGAAAUGACACAUAUUAUGGUUACAUAGUAGACAUAUGGGGACUUGACUAUGGAGUAGAUUUUAAGGUCCCUUUGUUUAAGUGCAAGUGGGUCAAUCUGUCAGGAGGCGGGGUACAGGUAGACCCACAGUACGGAAUGACAACUGUGGAUCUGAAAAAUCUUGGGUACACUGACGAACCGUUCGUCCUAGCCAAUGAUGUGGCACAGGUUAUCUAUGUGAAGGACAUGUCUACCAGACCGAGGAAAAGAAAAGAUAAGGAAACGAAUACAUCAUACAAUGAGCCAAAGCGCCACAUAGUUCUUUCAGAAAAAAGGGACAUCCUGGGAGUGGAGGGCAAGACAGACAUGUCUGAAUAGUAUGAAAAGUUUCAUGAAAUUCCCCCCUUCAAAGUCAAGGCUGACCCAAGCAUCCUGAUAAACGAUGAAGAUUAUCCAUGGUUACGGCGCAAUAAGCAAACGACACAAGUGAAGAAAAAGUGAAGACUUUCUCCCGCAACUAUUAUGAUGAUACCAUGCCAACUUUGUAACAGACGAGUAUGAUACCAUUGUCCGUUUUGUACAUGCACAUGCUAUGCCAACUUUUUCAGAGUUCAUUUGAAAACUAUGAAUUUCAAAACCUCGCCAACCGAAGGGCGCUCACACCGGUUUAUAAGCCUGUCCCUCUACACGCCUUGUUGAGCUCAUAAACUUGUGAUUCACACAAAUUUCAAAGAAAACUAAUGGCACAAACAAAAAGUUUAUAAUUUUGCUGACCUAAAAGCAAAAAGAAUUAAAAAAUAAAGCAAAAAACCAAAAGAAAAUAAAUAAUGCAGAAAAAAAAAACAAAAAAACUUGAAAAAAAAUAAAAAUAGCAACAAUAAGUAUUUUGUUGUAAGUAGAAACAAAAUAAAAUAAAUAAAUAAAGCAAAAAAGUGUUUUCAAAUUUGAAAACUAAUGGCACUAACAGAAAGUUUAUAAUUUUUCUAAAACUAAAAGCAAAAAGAAUUAAAAAAUAAAGCAAAAAGCAACAAAAAUAAAUAAUGCAGAAAACAGAACAAAAAAACUAAAAAAUAAUAAAAAUAGCAACAAUAAGUAUUUUGUUGUAAGUACAAACAAAAUAAAAUAUAUAAAGCAACAAAGAAAACAAAAAAAGUGUUUUCUAAUUUGAAAACUAAUGGCACUAACAGAAAGUUUAUAAUUUUUCUAAAACUAAAAGCAAAAAGAAUGAAAAAAUAAAGCAAAAAACAACAAAAAAUAAAUAAUGCAGAAAGCAAAACCAAAAAACUGGAAAAAAAUAGCAACAAUAAGUAUUUUGUUGUAAGUAGAAACAAAAUAAAAUAAAUAAAGCAACAAAAAAAAACAAAAAAACAAAAAAAAGUGCCACCUACUGGGCCCCCACGGCCUGAAUACGACUAGAAACCCUACCAUGGGCCAGGAUUCAGACUCGCGGGAGGCCCAGUAGGCCCACAGGCACAGAUUGCACGGUCAGGCCCGAAAGCCUGUAGUUGAGAGGAGCUCGAAAGGGUGGGCGCAGCAGCGCUUAUAAAACCACUUUCGAGCUCUCUCAACUAGUGAGGUGGGACUAAAUUUUUCGGCGCGGGGCAGCACAAGGCCUUUGGUCCCGGUUGGUGGCACCAACCGGGACUAAACGUGGUCAUUAGUCUCGGGUCGUGGCACGAACCGGGACCAAAGCCUUUUCUAUAUGAGCAAAGACUUGGCGUUUUUUCAGAUUUCAUCGCCAGUUCCCCGCCCCAACGACGCCGCCAGGCUGCCCGAGCUCGCCCCGACGACGCCGUUAGGCUGCCCGUGCUCGUCGUCGCCGUCGCCUCGCGCCCCUGCCCCGUGCUCGCCGUCGCCAUCGCCCCGCGCCCCUGCCCCGUGCUCGCCGUCGCCCUGCCCCUGCCCCAUCCCGCCCCGCGCGCCGGCGCCCUUGCCUGCCCCCGCGCUGUGAGCCGCCGCCCGGCUCUUUUAAUGUUUAAGCUCUUUUUUUAUUUUUAUGCUCCGUUUUUUUAUGUUUUAGUUUUUUUGUUCAUAUGUGAUGUAUAUGUGUAUGUGGCUAUAAUGUAUAUGUGUAUGUGAACAAUGCAAAAGAUAGUUUUUUUAGAAAAAUUAGGAUUUUUUUCUGUUCGUAGAUUUUUUGGUGAUAUUAAUUAUUGUAAAUAUGCAAAUGUUUGUAUAUUCAUAUGAACAAUGAAUUCGGCAAUACUACUUCAUGUAUUUUUAAGAAGGAAGAAGAAGAAAAAGAAUGAGAGGAAAAAGGAAAUAAGAAGAGGAAGAAAGGAGAAGAAGAGGGGAGAGGAAGAAGAGGAGAAAUAAAUAAGAAGAAGAAAAAAGAAGAAAAAGAAGAGGAGAAGAAGAAAGAAAGGAAUAGAGGAGAAAGAAGAAACUUUGACACGAGGGGGGGGGUACCGAUACCCCCUCCCCGAUAACAUUAUUUUCCCAUGUAUAUGUAUGUUGCGUCGUUGUCGAUAUAACGAGGGUGUCGAGGAUCACCGAGGGGUCGAGGGUCGGGAACUAGGGUAGAGGGUCGAGGGUCGUUAAGGGGUCAAGGGUCUCAAGGUUUCAGGGUCGAGGGUCGUUAAGGGGUCAAGGGUCGAACGGUGAUGGGUCGAGUGUGGGUAUAGGGGUAUCGUGAUGGAGUAUGUGUGUAGGGGGCCGAGUGCCCUCGAGNNNNNNNNNNNNNNNNNNNNNNNNNNNNNNNNNNNNNNNNNNNNNNNNNNGUGUAUAUUGUUGAACUCAGUACCAAAAAGUGAAUUAUCCUAUCUGGGACUCCGUUACAAAAUAACUCUGGAGAGAUUCGUACCAUCAUGCACCUGUUACUUUCGCCUAAUGAUGAAGACAUGGUUUUGUUGAAUCCUUUGACACUAGGCAACCUCCCGACCCCUCGGCGAUCCUCGACCCCUUGACCCUCGACCGCUCGGCAAUCCACGACCCUCUACCCUACCGCGGGCGUCGAUGCCCACGUCACUUGUGGGACAUAGAUGUAGUGUUCAACGCCGACCCCCUCCCGAUAGCUUCAACACGUGGGGGGGGGGGGUCGAUAUUACCCCCUCCUUGAAGCGUUCUUGAGGCCACCCCCUAACCCUUGAAGCAUUGUCGAGGCCACCCCAAACCCUAGAGAAGCAGCGUCGAGGCCACUAAUAUGAUUCCUUAUUGUGAUUAGCUAGCUAGUUCUACGUUUGCCAAUAAUAUAUCCAUAUCUGUCAUGGACACCCCCCGAGACGAAGCACAAGAAGCGUUGUUGAGGGACAUAAUCGCACAAGGAAGUGAUGCCGUCUCCUCGUUGAUGUUUCUCAACGACAAUGAUGGUCUGGAAGGAGAGGGUGAAGAAGCAGCUGGCUAUGAUUUACAUGGCUCCGAUGACCCAAUGCCGGUGCAAGAAGGAGAGGGUGAAGAAGUAGACCGUGAGGACGGCUCCGGUGAUCACCAAACCGAGUCCGGCCAGGUAUAUAUAUUAGUUAAUCCUGUGCUGACUAGCUAAUUGAUGCAUUCAUUGUUUUGGUAUGUACACAUAUUAAUUAACUCUCGUCUUUGUUCUUUUUUCUAGCCCUCCAGAUCGAGCACAACUUCGGUAAAGAGACGAGGCCCGAAGAAAAAGUUGAGCUCGGAUGAAAAGUUUGAGAUCAUACAAAUCGCGCACGACGGCCAACCGAUUGAACCCUACCGGACAAAGAAGGCAUUUGUUGCUCAGUGCGGGGUUCUGGUUAGGGACAAGAUCCCGAUCAGCAUCCACCAAUGGUAUAAGCCUAAGAACGAAGACCCUGAGGUGUCUUAUGUCAAUGAUAUGCAGAAAAAUAAUCUUUGGACUGAGCUGAAGUCAAAUUUCACCCUACCGCCGGAGGAUGAUCCGGAGAAGCCAGGUAUAGAGCCAUUAAUCAAGUCUUUUGCUCUGAAGAAGAUGGAAGACCUAUUCAGGAAUUGGAAGAAAGACCUCAAUAGGUAUGUCGAAAAAAAUGAGACACCAGAAUUCAAGGGCAAAUAUGAGAAGAUCAGAGAUGACUGGCCCGCAUUUGUGGCCCACAAGACAUCGGAAAAGAGUAAAAAGAUGUCAGCGACAAACAAGAGAAAUGCUUAGAAGAAGCAGCUUCACCAUCGCACGGGGUCAGGUGGCUACCUCGUAGCCCGGCCUAAGUGGGCCAAGGAUGAGAAUGAUCUGCUUGAUAAAGGGAUCGAACCAGAGACAAUAAACUGGCCAGACCAUUGCCGGACUUGGUUCUUUGGGGCCGGCGGAUCCUUGGACCCUAUAACAGGGAAGUGCAUUUGGACGGACGAACAAUUGGACAUACCAGUCAAGAGGCUUCAGCAAUAUAUUGAAGCAGCGCAGCAAGGGACGUUCGUUCCAGACAGGGAGAAGGACGAGCUCACAACGGCCCUCGGCAAUCCUGAGCACCCUGGACGGACACGAGGCAUGCCAGGCUCCGUUUCGUGGAAGGCUGGAUUUCCGGACGCAGGGGGUUACAAAACCCAGGAGAGGAGGAAGAAACUGGAGCAGAGCCAACUGUAGUGCUGCACGAAAGGGUAAUGGGGCUAGAGGAACGAGAAGCAGAUCGCAGCAAACGACCUGCCGAAGCUUCCCCCGAAACUACCCCGCCAUCUCAGCGGAGAAGCAGCGUGGCUUCCACCGAGCUGCUUCAGCCAGAGCAUGCCUUGACGGCUCCUGCCAGCUAUCCCGUGGAUGCUAUCACGGAUGCUGAAAAUUGCCACCUUAUGGCGCAAUGGAGCAAUUUGAAGGUCAAGGCGGCUGUUGGCUCUGUUUAUCCUACUAAACCCGACUCAACUUUUCACUGCCGGCCAAUUCCAGAAGGAUAUGCUAAGGUGAUGGUCGAUGAAAUAACGGAGGGAUUUGAGGACCUCCGGCUUGACCACCCUACCGGUGAAGGGGAGUAUCGGCUGGGUUCUGCUCUGAAGACUCCAUGCCUAUGGCGGAAGGAUCUCAUCAACCUUCCGAACUGGACGCCUCCGCCUCCUCCUCCUCCUCCUCCGGCGAGUCAGGGCACUCCGCCUCCUCCACCGCCUCCUCCUCCGGCGAGUGACGAUCAGGGCACUCGGCCGGCUCCUUCUCCGGCGCGUGGCGGCACUCCGCCUCCUUCUCCGCCUGCGCCGGCGCGCCCGAGCAGCCAGCCUCCUCCUUCUUCGCCUCGUCAGCAAGGGCGGAAGAGACCCGCCGGCGCUCCGGCUGCUCCGGCGCGUCGUAGUCCUUCUCGUCCGCCUCGUAAGCAAGGAAAGAAGACAUCCGCUCCGUCUACUCUGCCGGUGUCUAGCAGUACAGCCAAAGGCGGGAGGAGAUACAGAUUCGGUCCUUCUCUGAAGACUCCAGAGAAGUUACCGUACGAGAGGAGCGAGGAGGAAAACGCGAAGAUCGCGCAGAUCGAAGUGGAUGACUGGUUUCAAGGGUUGAAAGCAAAGAGACAUCCACCUCCGGAGGAGAAGGUAGAUCCGGUGAAAGCGAAGCGCACUCUGGCUGCCCUGACAAAACCACCCAAGUCUCCGCCGAAAGGCAACUAUGAGCGCAUUAUUGGAAAGGCAUUUGCCGAAGUGGAGAGGUCGGGAAGUACUAAAAGUGAUCAAAGGAUGAAAGAACGACGAGCUGGGAAACAAAUUGCCCAGCUCGGCGAACAAGCGAAGCAAUCGUGCCCCCCGCUCAAGGUGCCUGCUAGCGACAUCGUCGAUCCGAGGAUGGUUCCCGGUUAUGGCAGUCCUGCAGAUUACCUGCCCGACAAUGUACAUUAUGAUAUCUUGGAGGUGCAGAUAGAAAGAUACGAGUACGGGAAGCCUCUCGUCAAAGAUGAAAGUUCUCUAUCAACGAUGAUGCGAAGAUUGCAUGAUUGGUACAUGAAAACCUGCAAAGAGUCUGAGGGGAGGAGUACUUUGUAUGUGAGAGUUAAAAAGGAGCAUGACCUCCUUGGAAUUGAACUGUUGCCUAUUCCAUUUGAGGAGUUCUAUCAGUUUUUCAAUCAAUUGGCCAUCGAUAAAGCAACGGUCACCUCCUACUGUCUGUAAGUAGUACUACUUCUGUCAUUAAGUCUCUCUAUAUAACUCAGCCCUUUCAUUGCAUGUAUUUAUAAUUAUCCUCACUAUAUUAUGCAGGUUGAAGAUCGCCGAAUUGAAGAAAAGACAAGUGGGAGAUAUUGGGUUCAUUAACACGUAUCUCAUAGAUGCAACUGAGGUUCAAUAUCGUGCCCAAGAAACCGAGGCCAACUUGCUACGAUCGUUGGAAAUAAAUGAACACAAAGAUAUAAUACUCUUUCCUUACAACUUCAAGUGAGUGUUACUGUCUUGUGGCAUAUUCGGUUUCCUUAUUAGUCCAGGUUAUAGUAAUGUAAUAUUGAUGAGUCAUGCAUGUGUGCGCAGCUACCACUAUAUUCUCCUAGAGAUUAAGCUUGAGAAGGGAGUAGUAACUGUCUUAGACUCCAAGCGAAAAGAUCCCAAGGAGUAUGCGGACAUGACUGAAAUGCUCGAGAAGUAAGUUAAAUCGAUCAUUAUCCACCAUAUCAGCAACUUUGUUCAUUUCUGAUAUCAAGUAAUUUUUGUAUGGCAGGGCUUGGAGAAAAUUCACCAAAAAAGCUUCGGGACUACCGAAGAAGCUGCAAUUUAGGCACCCGAAAGUAAGUACUAUAUAGUAGCAUAUUCCAGGCAUCUCCUAGUGAUUCAAGCGCUAGUUUCAUCAAUACCAUUUAGCAUGCUUGCUAAUUAUCAGUUUGAUUGACCUCUAUUUCUUGUAAAAUGGUUGUGGCAGGAACAAGGGAAUGAUUUCUAUGGAUACUACAUUUGUGAGUCCAUCCGCCACACGACCUGUGAGCGGGGCUACUCCGACAAACAAAACGAAGUGCGUAAAUAACAAUAUUCACAAUUUUAUUUUAUUACCAUCAUUUGUGUUGAGUUUCAUUCAUUCAUAUAUAUAUAUAUAUAUAUAUAUAUAUAUAUAUAUAUACGGUAGCGCUAAAGUGAGCGUGAGCGCAAAUACUCUAAUCCUGCGCUCCGGCUGCUGCGUGCGCGCCGCUCCACUAAUCUCAGUAAAAAACCUAUCAGACAUAGUAAGGAAAUUAAACGGUUAUUGGUUGGCCCAAACCACUCCUCCGCCUUGUCCAUGUGUGAUCGUAAAAUAAGUAAUACUGGUAGUAAUCCUAUUACGGACUCCAACGAACCAUUUCUCCAACCCUUAAUCGUUUAGUAAAGUUGCCUGUUGAAAAUAGUAAUCUUGUUACUGCCUUGUAUCAUACUAGUCCUGCAUUGAAUCGGUAUGGUAAUCCAGUUACCAUGCUGACACACACAAAAUAAUUCAUAGUAACACGUGUAUUGAGUAUAGUAAUCUUGUUAUUGGCUAUCAUCAAAAAGUGUCACGCACCAAUUCGUCACACACAAAAGUAAUGGGACAAACCAGUUUUACUACCAGUACGAUUUACUAUCGUACUAUGGGUCAAUCCCUUGUAAAACACAUCCGCUUUGGUUACGUUGAUAGAUGCUCAUUACGGUUGAUUCCUGGGACGUCUUGGCCUGGAUGGAUUAACUAACUAGCACGUCGGUUGAAAGAUGGGUCGGAGCGUAGAAUAAAGAAAAUGCGCUCAGGCUCACUUUAGCAACCCUAUAUAUAUAUAUAUAUAUAUAUAUAUAUAUAUAUAUAUAUAUAUAUAUAUAUAUAUAUGUGUGUGUGUGUGUGCGCGCGCGUGUGUGCGCGCGCGCGCGCGCGCGCCCGCGCGCGCGCGCGUGUGUGUGUGUGUGUGUGUGUGCGCGCGCGCGCGCGCGCGCGAGCGGUGUGUGUGUGUAUGUAUAUAGAGCGCGUGUGUGUGUGUGUGGGUGGAUAGAUAGAGAGAGAGAGAGAGAGAGAGUGAGAGAGAGUGUGUGUCUUUCUUUUUUGUGUGUGUGUGUGUGUGGGGGGGGGGGGGGGCGGGCGCGCGCGCGCGCGCGCGCUCUCGCGCGUGAGAGAGAGGGCUCGGUUNNNNNNNNNNNNNNNNNNNNNNNNNNNNNNNNNNNNNNNNNNNNNNNNNNCCAAAACAUAUCAUAUCAUCUUGUUGUUAGACCAUUAUUACUCUCACACUCUCGUAGGGGGUCAUGCCAGCGUGUCCACCCGCACUCUCUCACACACUCACACACUCACACACACAGAUAAACCCCUCACACACGCGCGCGCGCGUAAUAUAUCUCUCUCUCUCGCUCGCGAGCGCGCACGCACGUAAGUAAAUAGCUCCCUCUCUCGCUCGCGCGCGCGCGCGCGCGCGCGCGGUCUCUCCCUCCCCCCCUCCCCACAAAAUAUAUAUAUAUAUAUAUAUAUAUAUAUAUAUAUAUAUAUAUAUAUAUAUAUAUAUAUAUAUAUAUAUAUAUAUAUGUAUGUAUUGACCCCCUUCUUAAAAUUAGAUGUUUCGGAUGCGGGAUGAACUCCUAGCACCAGAUCGCAUGCGAGCAAUUCAAGAGGAAUUGGCGGCAUUCUUUCUUGACCACGUGAUCGCUGAAGACGGAGAAUACUAUGUGGACCACGCGUCCGUAUUUUAGGAGAUUAUAUAUUUGUAAGAGAUAAUUAUUGUAUAUAUGUAGCCGGUAGUGUCAGAUAGAUAUACGAGAACUUGUGGUUCGACCAAUCUCUCGGAGAAGGAGAGGUGGUCGAUAUCACUUCUCUCUGUAUGCAUAUAUGUUCAUGAUGAUCUUCUGUUUGCUUACUAGCUAGCUAGCGUGUCUAGCUAGUCCUCUCUAUACGUAUGUAUGGUACGUAGCGUCAACCAAGCACGGACAAAAGAGAGGACACUUCUCUCUAUUAAUUAGCUAGCUAUAGCACAAUAUAUGAAACACCUAAAUUAACCCCCCAAAACCCCCCAAACCCCCCCCCCCUUCAAAAAAAACAAAAACCCCAGCCACAGAAAUGCUGACGCGUGGAUGCCUAUUGGUCCCGGUUGGUGCCACCAACCGGGACCAAAGGCCCUCCUGCCUGGGCUCAGCGGACAGGCCACGUGGAGGCCCAUCUGUCCUGGUUCUGGAUUGAACCGGGACUAAAGGGUCAGGGCAUUAGUACCGACCCUUUAGUCCCGGUUCAUGAACUGGGACUAAAGGCCCUCACCAACCGGGACUGUAGGCCCUUUUUCUACUAGUGCUUGGUCGUAUAUGACUUUACUAUUUGUUGGCGUAUUUUUGUGUGUGUGUGUUCGUGUUGCCUGUGUGCAUUGUACUUAUGCAGAUGCCGGAUAUGUGCUCAUUGUGUUAUGUAUCCUCUAGAUAAAUCCAUCCUUUAUCCAAAAAGCUCACCCACUUUCUAAUCUUCCCAAGCAUUUGUUUUUGCGUAACACCUUCUCUAGUACACCAACUUUCGAGUCUUCCCAAGCAUUAACUUUCCAAACAAGUGAUCUAGGUGAGGCAACCCAAUGACCUCCAGUGGCUAUAUCUCUAUCUUUGUCUUCCUUAGGUCUAGUGUCUCUAAGCAAUGUAACUUGUCAAUAUUCCCUAGAAACUUGCGGCAAGGCUCAGAUAUUUUAGAUGCCACAACUUAUGUACGUCCUUGAGAUGAUCAUCCUUGUUAGAUAAAACGAGAUCAAUGAGAUACGAGAGACAUGGAUUUUUACGUGGAAACCUUUACGGAGAAAAACCAAGGACACACCAAGGCGCAAUUCACUGUGAUGGAGGAGUAUUACAUAAACGAGAGGACAUACUUUUUGUAGGUGCGACUAUAUGGGGUAUAUAUGAGGGCAAUGCAUAAGAGUCCUUGGAGGACAAGUAAAAUGAGUUGUACUCAUACGCGUUGACGUUAACGCAACGCCCACACUGUUUGUAGUACAUGUAGUACAAUACGAUAGAAUUUGGAUCACAAUUUAAAAAUGUGGUCUCAACUGUUAAUAAUUAGCAGAAGAACCAGACCAUAUCUCAAUUAGAGUUUUCUUAUUAAGAGCAAUAAAUGGUGACCGAUUAAUAAGAUAACAAGCAGUGGAAGCGGCCUCAGCCCAAAAACGUCCAUGCAAACAUGCAUUGGACGACAUGCAACAAGCCCUGAAAAUAAUGGUCCUAUUUAUACCCUCGACAACACCGUUUUGUUGAGGAGUAUAAGAACGAUGUAGUGUGCUUCAGACUUGCAAUAAUUCUCAAAUAGUCUAGAACAUAAUUCCUUACCAUUAUCAGUGCGAAGUAUCUUUACCAUCUUUUCAAUUUGUCCUUCAAUCAUAAUCUUUCACUCCUUAAAUGCUGAGAAUGCUUGAUAUUUAUGCUUCAAGAAAUAAGGCCAAACUUUUCUUGAGUGAUCAUCAAUAAUAGUCAACAUGUGACUAGUACUACCGAGUGACUUUUUGUGAGACGGUCCCCAUAAAUCAGAAUGCACAUAAUCAAAAAUACCUUUAGUUGUAACAACCGAAGUGUUAGAACUUCUCCCUCUUGUGUGCUUGCCGAAGGUACAUUGCUCACAACUCGGUGAAUGAGGUGAUGCCUUGGUAGGAUCCUUCGGUAGAGCGCACAACUGGCGAUUUUACGACUGUCUGCAGUAGAAGUUUGUGUCGACUUCGGUGGAGUACUGUAGUGCAAUGGCUGCAGCGGAAAAGCCCAUCUUUGGUCUCGGUGACUUGUGGCGGUGCGAUGAACACAACCCUAACUCUCGUAUGGAUCUAAUCUUGUAUAAACAUGGCUUUGUAUACCACUUUUAGAUAAAACAAGAUCAAGGAGACACAAUAGACAUAAUUUUACUUGCGAACCCUUAUGGUAAAAACCACAGACACACUAAAGCACAAUUCAUUAAGAUGGAGGAGUAUUACAAGCACGAGAUCACAGACUGUCUUGAGACGCGACUACACGGGAUAUAUAUUGAGCUAUACAUAUGCUACACAAAACACUGGUGAGCAUGUCAGAUGAUCAAAUCGCAUGUAUAUGGAAAUAAUAUAGUUUACACUAGUUUUAAGUUCUUGGUGUUUACUAUAAAUGUUAUUAUUUUAAUACAAAAUACAUAGUAUACACAUGUAGUCCCCUUAUUACUGAACCCGCUAUAACUGAUGCUUCAGAAGUUUAUAUAAAUAUGCUUACCUAAUCAUAUACUAGAAACUACCAUUAAAGUAUUUAUUCGAUCAUAUGCUUUAGAUAUCCCAACCAUUAUAUGUGACUAUAAACAACAGAGGAACACACACGCACACAAGAAAAUUUUCUCUAUAUAGUUUAGCAAUUUGCCAAAAAAUCAAAGAUGAUUUUCUGUUACAAAAUACAAUUUAAAGCUAUCACAAUGCAAGUGUAUUUGUAAUGAUAUACAUAACAGUUAUAUAACUAAUAUUAGUAACUAAUAUUAAGGAAUAAGUUGCAUCAUUAAAUAUGAAAAUAAUGAACUAUAGUGAUCAAUAUUGUUGCAUAAUAAAACAAAGUUAUAGAAAAGUAAAAAAAAAUUAGUAGAAUUGUUUUACAGUAACCAAUCUCAAAAUUAACUUCAACUAUAUUAAAAAUUCUACCCCCCACCAUUUCAAAAUAAAGUAAACUUUAUUUACCUUGGACAAAGAUAAGGCAGUCGUACAUAGCCUGGCAUUGCUACACCUUGCUUGUUGCAGGCACGUAUUUGACCAACCGUCCUACCUCCCGGAUUCUAACCCUUCUUUGCAAGUCCGCCAGUGAAUCAAAUCACUCAAAUAAAACUCUGACGAGAGGUAGAAGUAUUAUAUUUCUUGCGAUCCAACAACAACGUCAUUUACAUUUAACUAUGCACAUCCCAACAAUUACAUUGAAUUGCAUGCAUCUUUUAUUAUUUGUAAAUAGGAAACUUAAUACAUCAACUCUUGUGGUAGAUGUAUUACUACUUGCGGUCGCCAAAAAAGUUUAAAAGUCCUUCUAAAAUAAUUAAAUUAUAUCAUUUGUAGCCCUCAAUUUUGAAAUAAUGCCUCAAGUAUGAUAUAGUUUUUAUUUUUUUCAAGAGUACGCAAAGCGCGUACCGUCGCUUUAUACUCCCUUUGUCCCAAAAUUCUUAUCUCACUAGAUUGGAAUCACGCCUUGGCAUGAGGUGUCAGUCCAAACAUUUUGGUCAAGCAAGUAAUGUUCAAGUUAGUAGGAAUCCAGGUCUAACAUACGCAUUCAAAUAGGAUAACAAAUAAAGGAAGGAAGAUACAUUCAUAAGUGAUAGAAGCAAGACAUUGUGUAGUUCAACACCGGCUUGAGAUUAUAAGGCAGCAUUGAGUAGUUGCUUGAUUUCGCACGUGAAAAUGUCCAAUUCACCUGCAUAGACACAUUCAUGUUUAAAGACGUCGACACUACCCAACUGUGGUUCUAUAUGUUUCGCAUUUUUUGUUCUUGUUUUCCUUCUAUAUUUUUAGCAUUUGAUCUUAGUCCAACAUAUGAGAAGGAUUUCUAAAUGCAAGCAAUGGAGAUUAGCGUGUUACCACUUGUCAAGGUCCUGUCACAUAGGCAUGGUUCGCUACAUGUGAUAAACCUUCCAUUACUUGGUACGGCAGUGUUUUCCAUAAAAUUUGAUCAUACCAAAAUAUGCAACAAAUAAGAUGCAUGACAGGACAGUUAUAAUAUCGACUCGGGGUGCCUAGCUCAUCAGUUGUCCCAACAUUUAAUCAAAGUGUGUAGAGCUCCCAAAGGGAAAUAGAUCGAUUGGUCACGAUGGAUUGUCUCACUACAUUAAGGAUGUACCAUAAAAAGGGCAACAUAACCAAGUCGAGUACAAACCAUUUGGUCAAAGUCAUGCCAAAGGGCAAAGCAAUUAGAUAUACCAAAAGAAAGGCAAGUAGGAUAUAUUUAGUUGGUAGAAAAAAUGAUCCGGAAGCUCAUGAAUAAGGGGAAACAUAUAUCAUGUUCCAAAAGUAAAUCAGGAACAAAGUUAGGUAUACCAAAAGCAAGGUGAGCAGGAAAUAUUUAAUCAGUAGAACAAAUCAUCUAGAGGCUCAUGAUAAAAGGGAAACACUAUUUUCUUCCAAAACUUAGUCAUCAAUUCACAUCAAGUUAGAUACAAAGAAUAGAGUUAUUAGACAACAAAAUCAAACCAGAGCCCCAGUGUGAGAUAAGGAACCUACACAAUUCAACUAAAUCAUACUAUUUGAUAACUUCACUUGAUUGUCUUGAUGUUCGACUUCUCACAUGGCACGUCACAUGAACCUGCUAUGAGUAUUUAGUUUAGCCACUUAAGCCACAAAAAUAAAUUAUGAAUAACAAGGUUAUGUUCUCUUAGCUAACCACUUGUGGGUGGUGAGCGAUAGUUUUCCCCGUACUCGUGUUUAAAAUUUGCACCAUAUUGGUCCGAUGUGUCAGGUGUAAGAGUUCAGUUUAUCCUGCGGAGAACAAUCUAUUGAACAAUGGUGUAAGAGUGCAUUUAACAUGCAAAGAAAAAUCUAUUGGACGAUGGCAUAAGGCCAACAUGCCACCUCUUGUUAAGGUGCUCUCACAAAGACAUGGUUCGCUACACAGAGCUCGGCCCCUUGUCUUUUUGGCACGUUGGCGUUUAUAGCAUGGUUACCUAAAUAUUUGAGACAAUCAGUGUCGAAUACAACAUCAUUAACAGGAAUUAGAGACAACGAAGCUGGUACUCUAUAUACACAGAUACACCCAUACAUUCAUCGUCACUGGUGUAAAUAGGGUCAUUGAUUAUCGCCCAUUUCAUAAUGUGGUUAUUACCUGAGUCCUAGUAAGCGUGAAAGCAAAAAAUGUAAGAGAGUGGGAUCAACGCAGACCUAGAGAGAAUGGUCCCAACAAAAAUAAAAUAUCGGUUACUCUCAAAAGUGUUAGUGCGCAUUUGAUUUUAAACAUGAUCACAUUCAGUGGAAGAGUCUACCAAUAGUACAUCAUAAGUGAACCUAUAUAUGCACACCAAAUUUCACGGAUAUCCAUGUAAUUAGUAUAGUGCUCCCUCCGUCCCAAACUAUUAAGAACAGGGACGCGGGUGUUAUUUAGAACUGGAACAACUCAAUGUAUUCUCGCUUGCUCGCUGACAAUUACAGAACUGCACUUGUUCCUAACUCAUGUUGUGAUGACAAGUUAUAUGAAUCUAAGCCCAUGUGUUUCUAUCUGUCUGCAUAAGUUGAUCCCAGUUCACCAUACGGUAAGAUGUCAUGUACGAAUAAAUUCAAAUGCCCAUGCCAAAUACUUUGUAUUCAAGUUUCAAAUGGUUACCACAAUAAAAAGAAAUUUGAGAAAAGAAGACAAACAUACCAGGACGAAUUCGUACAACAGAACAUUGAUUUGCAGUCGCAUACAACACAAUUUUGGCAUCUAGUCCAAGAUUGCAUAUACUUCUAAAGAACAUGCAACAACAACAACAACAACAACAACAACAAAGCCUUUAGUCCCAAGAAAGUUGGGGUAGGCUAGAGGUAAAACUCAUAAGAUCUCGCAACAAACUCAUGGCUCUGGCACAUGGAUAGCAAGCUUCCAUGCACCCCUGUCCAUAGCUAGCUCUUCGAUGAUACCCCAAUCCUUCGGGUCUCUCUUAACGGACUCCUCCCAUGUCAAAUUCAGUCUACCCCGCCGUCUCUUGACAUUCUCCACAUGCUUUAGCCGUCCGCUAUGCACUGGAGCUUCUGGAGGCCUGCGCUGGAUAUGCCCAAACCAUCUCAGACGAUGUUGGACAAGCUUCUCUUCAAUUGGUGCUACCCCAACUUUAUCUCGUAUAUCAUCAUUCCGGACUCGAUCCUUCCUCGUGUGGCCACACAUCCAUCUCAACAUAUGCAUCUCCGCCACACCUAACUGUUGAACAUGUCGCCUUUUAGUCGGCCAACACUCAGCGCCAUACAACAUUGCGGGUCGAACUGCCGUCCUAUAGAACUUGCCUUCUAGCUUUUGUGGCACUCUCUUGUCACAGAGAAUGCCAAAAGCUUGGCGCCACUUUCAUCCAUCCGGCUUUUCCCAAAAAACACCUCUUAAAAAAUUUUUNNNNNNNNNNNNNNNNNNNNNNNNNNNNNNNNNNNNNNNNNNNNNNNNNNAACGAGUAAUUUGCGGGCGCGUAUUCGCCCUUGGGACUUUGUGUUUCUCCAAGGCCCACCACAUGACAUUCAGCGGUAUCUUAUCAUAGGCCUUCUCCAAGUCAAUGAACACCAUAUGCAAGUCCUUCUUUUGCUCCCUAUAUCUCUCCAUAACCUGGCGUACUAAGAAAAUGGCUUCCAUGGUCGACCUCCCAGGCAUGAAACCAAACUGGUUUUUGGUCAUGCUUGUCAUUCUUCUUAAGCAGUGCUCAAUGACUCUCUCCCAUAGCUUCAUUGUAUGGAUCAUCAGCUUAAUUCCACGAUAAUUAGUACAACUCUGAACAUCCCCCUUGUUCUUGAAGAUUGGUACUAAUAUACUCCGUCUCCAUUCUUCUGGCAUCUUGUUUGCCCGAAAAAUGAGGUUGAAAAGCUUGGUUAGCCAUACUAUCGCUAUGUCCCCGAGACCUUUCCACACCUCAAUGGGGAUACAAUACGGGCCCAUCGCCUUGCCUCCCUUCAUCCUUUUUAAAGCCUCCUUGACCUUAGACUCCUGGAUUCAACGCACAAAACGCAUGCUGGUCUCAUCAAAAGAGUCAUCCAGUUCAAUGGUAGAGCUUUCAUUCUCCCCAUUGAACAGCUUGUCGAAGUACUCCCGCCAUCUAUGCUUAAUAUCCUCGUCCUUCACCAAGAGUUGGCCUGCUCCAUCCUUGAUGCAUUUGACUUGGCCAAUAUCCCUCGUCUUCCUCUCUCGGAUCUUGGCCAUCUUAUAGAUGUCCCUUCCGCCUUCCUUCGUGCCUAACCGUUGGUAGAGGUCCUCAUACGCCCGACCCCUUGCUUCACCAUACUUCUAAAGAACAUGAAUUAGAGAAAUUUAUUUAUAUAGCAUGGAUCCAUUGGUUUGAAGUAGAGAAAGCACAUGAAAUUCAGCUAUUGAAAGUGAGGAUAAACAUUGGGCUUGGGAACACGAGGCAAAGAUCCGAAUACCUCGGGGUAGUGUGGAAGCGGUGGGGUCCGCCGUCAUCAAAUCCAGGGACUACAAUAUCCACUGGGAUUUGGGCGACCAUUGUGAGCACCACAGACAUCAUGAGAAGUGGAGGGCUGGCUUGACCAAAAUGUAAGAUGGGAAAACAAUUUACUACAUUCCCAAAAAAACCCAAAAAAACGGGGGGGNNNNNNNNNNNNNNNNNNNNNNNNNNNNNNNNNNNNNNNNNNNNNNNNNNNNNNNNNNNNNNNNNNNNNNNNNNNNNNNNNNNNNNNNNNNNNNNNNNNNNNNNNNNNNNNNNNNNNNNNNNNNNNNNNNNNNNNNNNNNNNNNNNNNNNNNNNNNNNNNNNNNNNNNNNNNNNNNNNNNNNNNNNNNNNNNNNNNNNNNGGCGGGGGGCGGAGGGAGGGGGGGGGCGCCGAUGUGCACGGCGCGGCCGGGCGGCGUUGUCGCGGAAGAACACCUCGAGUUGCUGCCAGAGAUGAUACGCCGUGGCGUCCGGCGUCUGGAUGGUGUCGUAGAGGUCGUCGGAGAUCGUCCCGUACACCCACAUGACGAUCGUGAUGUCGUCGUUACGCCAGGUGGCGUCCUCGUGCAGCGGCUCGGCUUCCUCCAGGACGUGCUCCUCGACGCGGUAUUUGCAGAGCACGUACCAGAAGAGGUGACGCCACUUGGAAUAAUUCCCGGAGUCGAGCGAAAGCUUGAAGGGGAUGUACGAAGCGAUGUUAAUAUGAUGCAUCGACGGGAGAGGCGCAGGGGGAACCUAGGGCGGACGGAGCGCAAGCGCCGCAGAGUGAGGACGCACGGCGUGGAGAGGUGGCACCACCGGGGGCACCAUGGGAGCAGCAUGGGCCCGGCGCAUGGCGCGGGCAUUCGGCGACAGGGGCGCCGGAGCGGCGGGCGGCACCGGUUGGGCGGCAGCCGGUGCAGCCGGCUCGGGGUUGGGGGCGACUUCCGGCAGGAUGAAGACGGCAUCGGCGUCCCCGAACGAACGAGUGCGGCGAAGGGGGCGGCGGAUGCUCAUGGCGGAAGUAGGGAGGAUCGAGAGAAGCUGAUACCAAGUAAGAGGAUGAAGGACUCUGUGUGUAUUCAUCAUCGCAGGGUUACAAGAGUUUAUAUACACGGGAAACCUCGAGGAGUCCUAGUCUACUGUUACAACUGAUCCGAGGAUAAUGCCGAUCGUGACUAGGUGGGCGGAGGCGACGUGCGCGGGAGCGCGGGCGCCGUAGGACUCGGCCCAACUCGUUGUACACAUGGGUGAGGGUGCAUGUCACGUUUCCAACAAUGCAGUGGACACUUCGAGAUUGAGGCCACCAACAGCAUAUGCCAAUGGCGUCCAUUAACAACCUGCCCGAGGUCCGGAUUCACCGAGCACAAUCGGAGACAUGGUCUUCUGCCUGCUGGUCUGGAAACUACACAAUUUCUCUGGAGCAUUAUCCUCCAAUGCAUGAAUCUCUAUGCUCAGUUGGGCUACAACUAAUUUAUCACUGUUUCAUCUUAUUCUAUAAUGCAAACAUCCUGUUUUUUCGUCAAGAGAAAGAACAUUGACAAAUUUUGCUCAUUCUAUUGCAGCAAUAGCGACUAUAUGAAUAGUAGUAUUGUGUUUGGUUGUUUGUUCUUGUGGGUUCCUAGCCAUGGGCACUUUACUGCUUUGUUCCAAAAAAAGAAACCCUGGUAUGUUUGUUCUGCCGGUACAACUACUCUUUGGCUGGGACAUUUUGGCUUCGGAUAACAUGAAUGAACCUAAAAUUUCUUUAUAUUUUAUAUCACUUUUUGUAUUGAAACUAUUUACCCUGCUUUCUUUUGAUUUGAGUUGUCUUUAUGUCAAAGACUAUUUGUUUUAAUAGAUUAAUAUCUUAAGUGUCAUAAUUAAUUUUAUUUCGAUGGCAUGGCUUCCAUGGUAUAAAGACAUACUGUAUGAGCUCGUGGUACGUAGUGAUGGUUAGUUGCUAACUCAAUCCUACAAGUGGGGUGCAUUUAUCUUUCUACUUUUCUUUCGUAAUAAGCAUUACCAUGUACCAAAUGUUGUUUUCUUCUUUUAUAAUCACCCUAAUGUCCAAAAUGUAUAUUUGGUGUGUGAGUUUUAUUCAGGCUUGACAAAAAAAAUAUGCUGACAACACAAAUUGUGAAGCCGCUUUUAGCAUGGUCUUUUGUAAACUUCCCAUAAUUGUAUAAUUUACUUUUCCCCAGCCUCUACGAACAGAACAUGCAAGAGUAAUCUUCCUACAGCCAGGUCAGAGUUCCGACUUUAAAUUCUUAUUAGUGAAGUAACAACAAGUGAGGAUAUAAAGCUGAAGGGCUGAAAGGGAUAACAACAAUUGUAGGCAAGCAAGAACAAUGUGACUUGAGGCUUCAUUUUUCCUUAAAUGAGUUGCAACAAACUUAGUAAUGACUGGAUUCUUUUAUACUGCGCAGCAGAUUUAGUAUUCACAAUUAUUUUCAUGAGCCCAAGGAUAGUUCACUUCAGGGUCUUGUCUUAUAUGAUUCAUGUUCAUAAUAAAUUACAUGUGAGAAUAUUUGUUGUCGUCAAAACAGAAGGAUUUUCCCUCCUGCAUUAGGAUAAUUAAUUUACAUCUGCAUUAUAGUAAGCUCAAAACCCGAUUAAGUGUGUCAGAAAUGAGUAUGGAUUAAUUUAUAUAUAAGAAAGAUUUCUUACUUUAGUUGGGCUUAAUGUUGCAGUAAUAUCCCUGUUUUGUUUCCUCACAAGAACUCUAUCUAUGUGUGUGCCCUGUAGCUUGGGAGGGGCAACUGAGGAGGUCGCCUUGAAAUUAUGGAAGAGCAAGGGAGGCCAGAAGAGUACAUCGCUACACUGCUGCCUUGUUUCUCCUUGCUGCUACCUGACUCGCCUUCGUGCGGCGCUAUUUCCAUAGGUGUAAGAGUUUCAAUACUUUCAGCUCCUGCAAGUCAUCAUUUUGGUAAUGUGAGAGAGUUAAGAGAAAAUUGAAGCAUCAUAUUAAUAAUGAAGUGUUUUUUAUGAGACCUGGAACCUUUGUGGUGCUAACUGUAAUGUGCCGCCACAGUUUUCAGUAGUUCCAGUGUUUACUUUUGCGUACUUCCUUGGUGGUGCUGACUGUCAUGUGCCACCGCAGUUGACAACCAGCAGGAAGAGGAGGAAGGAGAGACAGAGAUGAAUGAGGAAGAUGAGAUCUCUGCCAGUGCACCACAUCUUCCAUAGGCCUUUGUUGUUGGAGGAUUAUAUCCCAACAUCCUCCUCCAUGCCUGCAUCUACUGCCUUCCCAAGUAACGUCAAUCUACAUCAGCAAGGUGAGCCUCACAUUUUUCUUUCUUUUCUUAGGAUUUUUACUUUAUUAUGUGUGUGUACCAUUGUUGCAUGUCUCUGAUUGUUUAUGUUGCUAAAAAAGCAUAUAUAGUAAUGUAUAUGCUCCAAACAAUAAAGCACAACCACUGAAACUGUUGUUAAGGGCUAGAAGAGUUUAGAAGUGCAUUGAUUCAUAAUUAGCAAAUUAGGUCUCUGAUAUAGAAGUAUAUAUUCCAUUGUUGCUACUAAGAUCUAGCAUUAUAAUAGUUGAUAUUUUUCUAGAAAUGAGGCCCCAUGGUUAUCUGUGUUGCCAAUUCCGGCCAAAAGAAUUAUGUGUGGUCGUCCUACUGCCGCACAUGCCCUUUGUUCACACUUCUAUCCUUUCUAUCUGUAGGCUAUAGUUGAAUCCAUUUUACUCUAUUUUUUUCCUGGAUAUAUGGAUUAGACUACACUGUGGUUUCCACUGCCUCUUGCUCUCCAUAUAGAAUCCAUUUGUGAGGCCUGCCACUAUAUCUUUGAUUUGAACUAACAACCUGGGUCCUGCAAAAUGCAACUACAUGAAUUUUGAUUUGCCCAUCAAGCUUAAGAAGGUUAUGUUGACCAUGGUAAUCAAUUUUGUGCAAAGUUUUUCUUGAGUUGUAUGUACAAACUGAGCAUCAAGCUGAAGAACUGAUGCACAAUGCAAAGUUAUACAUGCACAGGGUCAUGCAUAUUCUUUCAAAGAAAAGUAGUAGCUGAACAUAUCUUGUAGGUGUCAAGUAAAUGCUACAGACGUAACUAUUUCUUCUUUAUCCAUGUAGGCUAGACCUUUUCUGGUUGUUGCUCCAUUAUACUAGUGUUUUAAUUGUGAAUCUAAUCGUUCAUUAUCUCCAGGCCAUGAAUAUUUGUAAUCUUAUAUUAUGUAUCUUAUGUGAUCUCAGAGCACUUCAGUUUUGUGUGGAAACAUCAAGCUACCAUUGUGGUGCCAGGCAAGCUAUCAACCAACAAGAGGUUGCCCUACUUUUCGCGCCUGCCAAGCUAUCAACUGACAAGAGGAGCACGUUCAAAUAUAGGACCACGAAAAGGGCAACUCCAGUAAAACAGUGGAAAAAGCAAGUCAGAUUUAGCUUUAUACUCGUAUUUAUUACUGCAGAGCUCCUGCUUUACUUGUUUCGUCGGUCUAUCCGCUGUACAUUAACAGCAGGAGAAGCAUGAGACAUGAGAGAUAUCCCCUCUUUAUUUAAGUGAUUUGAUAACUAAGGAAAAUUGCGGAGUUGAAAAUAUUGUAGCAAAGUGUUCAAAUCCGAGAGGUCGGUCAAAUCAAGGGGUAGCACUGCCAGGCUACGUAGGUCUGGCUUCUACCUGUCCACAGUAAAGAGAGGUUUACUUUAUUUUGGAAUGGUGGGCGGUAGAGUUUUGGGACGGUCAAAAGGAAACUGGAAGAAAGUGUGUGGGCUUUGGGUAUGUACUUUUGGACGGAGGAUCGCCGUGCAUGUGACCGGCUAGAGGGAGGGAUAUCCUCGGGAGGAAGGCAUGCAAAAGCAUUUCCUUCCCGUAGCCCAAACCCAAACCCACACCCUCCUCCCUCUUCCUUCUCCCUACAAGAACCAUAAAAGGCCCCCAAAUCCCACCCCGCAGAAACCCCAGACCCGCUCUCUUCUUCCCUUCCUCUCCAACGCCAGCCAACCAUGGAUCAUGGUCGUAGCGCCACCAUCACGGCUCGCCUCCGGCGUGCCACAACCACAAGGCGAAGCUAUGACAUGUGCAUGGGUGAGGACAAGCGGAGCGCUGUCGUCACUGCCAGCGGGAGUGACGCCCGGUGGUGGAUCCGGAGGACCAAGCUCCUCAACGACCAGGCGGUCCAGUCUGGCCGCCUCGUGGUCGGCCUCGCCCUCAACAGGCCCCCGCGCGGCCACGAGGACGCGGGAUGUCACCUCCCACCGGCCACCAUCCAGUUGUGCGCUGGCCAUCGCUGCCUUGUGUUCAUGGUCGCCAAGGCCGGUUCCUCCCGAACAGCCUUCGACGCUUCAUGGCUCAUCCCACCGUCACCUUCCCUGGUAAUCACGUGGUGUCCGACCAACGCCUCCUUCGCGAGACCUGUUGCCUCCGUGUCGCGCGCGCCUUCAACAUCAAGGCGGCGAUGGGCCUGCGCAAGGCGUCCAUCGAGAGGACCGCCGAGGCUCUGCCGGGCUAUGGCGCCGUCCCCAGGCAGAGGUACUUAGAGGAGGCGUGGAUGCAGCAGCGGUUCCCACGGGAGCAGGUCAAGUCUGCGGUGCUCCAGGCAUACCUGGCCUCUCGCGUCGGCGUCCACCUCCUCGACAUCGAUGACGUCGAGAGCGGGGGCGGCCCUUCACACUAGUAGAAAAGAGGGCUUUGGUCCAGGUCGGGUUAGCCCAUUAGUCCCGGUUCAGUCUAGAACCGGGACUAAUGGGGGCAUUAGUCCCGGUUCGUGCGCCCAGGGGCCACGUGGGCCAUUCGUCCCGGUUCGUCUGGACCUUUUAGUCCCGGUUGGAGCAGAUAGUCGUGGUUUCCUGACUAUGGACACUGGAUGUCAUUGAUAACCAGAUCUCAUCAUUGGGAGAAUAAUGUGAUGGACAAUACCCGAUCCUAGACUUAUCGCAAGAUCGUAUAUUUCGUUUGCUACAUUUUUCCUCUGUCUAAGUAUCUUUUCCUUAUACCAUGAGAUCGCGUAACUCCCUGAUACCGAUAGGAGUGCUUUGGGUACGGCAAACGUCACAACGUAAGUGGGUGACUAUAAAGGUAUACUACUGGUAUCUCCUAAAGUGCCUGCUGGGUGACAUGGAUCGAUACUGGGAUUUGUCACUCCGUAUGACGGAUAGGUAUCACUGGGCCCACUCGGCAAUGCAUCAUCCUAAUGAGCUCAGACUGACCAAGUGUCUGGUCACGGGAUCGUGCAUUACUGUACUAGUAAAGUGACUUGCCGGUAACGAGAUUGAACGAGGUAUUGGGAUACGGACGAUCGAAUCUCGGGCAUGUAACGUAUCGAUAGAGAAAGGGAAUAGCGCUCCCCACUAANNNNNNNNNNNNNNNNNNNNNNNNNNNNNNNNNNNNNNNNNNNNNNNNNNCAUUUUUUCCGGCCGCGAAUUCGCCCUUUGUCAAAAAUAAAAAAAAAUAAGUUUCCCAUGUGAUAUGUGGUCUAGUUGUUGGGAAAAUUUGCAAAUGUGAAUCUCGACUUUAUUUGCAAAAUCUCUCUAGAAUUUAGUAAAAUGGGCAUAACUUUUGCAUACUAACUCGGAUGAAAAAGUUUUUUAUAUGAAAAAUCAUCUACUCGAAAAGUUACAUCCAAAUUUAAGGGGGGGAACCCCGUUAAACAUUUUCAAAAUCCUCAAAAACCUAACAGAAAAAAAGUUACGGGGCUUUUAAGAUCUAGAGUGGAAAAAAUCGAAAAAAAUUUAAACUGUGGUCAAACAAUGGUCAAACUAAUUAUUCUAGAAUAUUAGUGUUACUAAAUAAUUAUUUUAGUUAUUUUGAAUUUUGGUCAAAUCUGGUCAAAGUGUGGUCAAACAAUGGUCAAACUAAUUAUUCAAGAAAUAUUAGUGUUACUAAAUAAUUAUUGUUUUUUAAAACAAUAGUUUCAAACUCAAACAGUGAAAUGUGUCACUUCAUGCUCAAGCAAAAUUCCUGAGGGUUAAUAGCAUUGACAUCUUACUAUUGUCAGGAAAACAACAAGUGCAGACUUGGAAACGAGGGAGAAUAGAACCCGGAAGUUAAGCGUGCUCAGGUUGGGGGAGUGGGAGGAUGGGUGACCGUUCGGGAAGUUAGAUGAUUUGGAAUGAUGAUGGGUGAUUAGAGAUUAGAGGAUAAAUUGAGCAGUGAUGAGGGGUGGUGAUUAGGGAUUAGAGGUUAAAAUAAUUCAGAAAUUUGAAAAUAAAAAAAUUUCAAAAAAAAUUCAAAAAAAAAUAAUCAUAAAAUUUCCUUUAGUCCCGGGACUAAAGGUGGAGCUCCACGUGGCCGCGACCUUUAGUCCUGAUUCGUGUUAGAACCGGGACUAAAUGGGGGAGGCAUUAGUAAUGACCCUUUAGUCCCGGUUCAUGAACCGGGACUAAAGGCCCUUACGAACCGGGACAAAUGCCCUGUUUUCUACUAGUGUCUUCUGCCCCUCCUCUCCGCAUCACGCCUCAUCAUGGGCGGGCUGUCCAGCGCCCUCCUCUUACUCCCACAGCGAUCCAAGGUAGUAAUAAAUAGGAGUUCAAAUAUAGGAGCACGGAAAGGGCAACUCCGGUAAAACAGUGGAAAAAGCAAGUCAGCUUUAGCUUUGUACUCCUAUUUAUUACUACAGAGCUCCUGCUUUCCUUGUUUCGUCGGUUUGUUUGCUGUACAUUAGACGACACCAGCAGGAGAAGCAUGAGACGCAAGAGAUAUUCCCUCUUUUAUUUGAGUGAUUUUUGAUAACUAAGGAAAAUGGUGGAUUUGAAAAUAUUGUAGCAAAGUGUUCAAAUCCGAGAGGUCGGUCAAAAAUCAAGGGGUAGCACUGCCAGGCUACGUAGGUCUAGCUUCUACCCUUCCACAGUAAAGAGAGGUUUACUUUGUUUCGAAAUGGUGAGCGGUAGAGUUUUGGGACGGUCAAAAGGAAACCAGAAGAAAGUGUGUGGGCUUUGGGUGUGUACUUUUGGGUGGAGGAUCACCGUGCACGUGACCAGCUGGAGGGAGGGAUAUCCUCGGGGGAAGGCAUGCAAAAGCACUUCCUUCCCGUAGACCAAACCCAAACCCACCCCUCCUCCCUACAAGAACUAUAAAAGGCCACCAAAUCCCACCCCGUAGAAACAACAGACCCACUCUCUUCUCCCCUUUCUGUCCAACGCUAGCCAGCCAAGGAUCAUGGUCGUAGCGCCACCAUGACGGCUAGCCUUUGGCGUGCCACGACCGCAAGGCAGAGCUGCACCGUGCGCGUGGGCGAGAAAGAGCUGAGCAUGGUCGUCACCGCCAGUGGGAGUGACGCACGGCGGUGGAUCCGGAGGACCAAGCUCCUCAACGAUCAGGUGGUCCAGUCUGGCCGCCACGUGGCCAGCCUUGCCCUCAGCAGGUCCUCGCGCGGCCACGGGAAUGGGGGACGUCACCUCCCGCCGGCCACCGUCUAGCUGUGGGUUGUCCAUCGCUGCCUCGUGUUCAUGGUCGCCAAGGCCGGUCUCCUCCCGAACAGCCUCCGGUGCUUCAUGGCUCAUCCCGCCGUCACCUUCGUCGGUAAUCACGUGGUGUCCGACCGGUGCCUCCUUCGCGAGACCUGCCGCCUCUGUGUCGCGCGCGCCUUCAACAUCAAGGCGGCGAUGGGCCUGCGCAAGGCGUGCAUCGAGAGGACCACUGAGGCUGUGCUGGGCUAUGGCGCCAUCCCCAGCCAGAGGUACUCAGAGCAGGCGUGGAUGCAGCAGCGGUUCCCGCGGGAGCAGGUCAAGUCCGUGGCGCUCCAGGCAUACCUGGCCUCCCGCGUCGGCGUCCACCUCCUGGAAAUCGAGGACAUCGAGCAUGAGGGUGUCCCUUCAUCUGCCCCGCCUCUCCGUGUCGCGCCUCGUCGCGGGCGGGCUGUCCAGCGCCCUCCUCUUACUCCCGCAGCGAUCCAAGGUAGUUAUAAAUAGGAGUUCAAAUAUAGGAGCAUAGAAAGGGAAACUCCAGUAAAACAAUAGAAAAAGCAAGUCAGCUUUAGCUUUGUACUCCUAUUUAUUACUGCAGAGCUCCUGCUUUUCUUGUUUUGUCGGUCCGUCUGCUGUACAUUAGACGACAACACCAGGAGAAGCGUGAGAUGUGAGAGAUAUUCCCUCUUUUAUUUGAGUGGUUUGAUAACCAAGAAAAAUGGCGUAUUUGAAUAUAUUGUAGUAAAGUGUUCAAAUCCGAGAGGUCGAUCAAAUCAAGGGGUACCACUGCCAAGCUACGUAGGUCUGGCUUCUACCUGUCCACAGUAAAGAGAUGUUUACUUUAUUUUGAAAUGGUGGGUGGUAGAGUUUUGGGACGGUUAAAAGGAAACCGGAAGAAAGUGUGUGGGCUUUGGGUGUGUACUUUUGGGCGGAGGAUUGCCUAGCACGUGACCGGCUGGAGGGAGGAAUAUCCUUGGGGGGAUGGCGUGCAAAAGCAUUUCAUUUUAGUCGAUACCCUCCGCCUCUACGUGCGCGUGUUUCAAGUCAAAUCAAACCAAAAUAGCAUCAAGUUGCCCCGACAGGGCCGAGGGCUCGCCAGAUAUCCACCCAUGAAUGUGACAAGAAUUUGUACUGUGUAUAUGGUAAUUUAAGUUUGUUAUUUUAUAUUGUUGAAGUUAAUUUUGAAAUUGGUUAUUGUAAAACAAUUAUAGUAAUUUUUUAUACUUUUGGAUAACUUAGUUCUAUUAUGCGAAAAUAUUGAUCACUAUAGUUCAUUUUUUUUCAUAUUUGAUGAUGCAAACUUAUUCCUUAAUAUUAGUUAUUUCUAUUUUUAUGCAAUUGUUUUUUUGCAUGGAUUUUUAUGUGUAUCAUUAAGCACACUUGCAUUAUGACAGCUUUAAACUGUAUUUUGUAAUAGAGAAGCGUCUUUGAGAUAUUUUCUGAAAAAUUGCUAAACUAUAUGGAGAAUAUUUUGUUGUUUGCGUGUGUGUUCAUCUAUUCUUUAUCAUGGUUGAGAUAUCUAAAGCGUAUGAUCGAAUAAAUACUUGAAAUGUAGUUUCUAGUAUAUGAUUAGGUAAGCAUAUUUAUAUAAACUUCUAUAGAAUUAGUUAUAGUGGGUUCAGUAACAAGUGGACAACAUAUGGAUACUAUAUAUGUAUUUCAUAUUAAACUAAUAGUAACAUUUAUAGUUAUUAAACACCAAAGAACUUAAAACUGGCGUGAACUAUAUUAUUUCCAUAUACAUGCCCACUAGUAAUGUUUUGUGUAGCAUAUGUGGUAUAAGUGUGUUCUAACACUUUUUUAGAAUAGAAAGUUAUGCACAAAAUGAAAAUGUCCCGCUAAAAUUUCCCACUAAUAUGUCCCGAAGCGUCCCGCCAAAAUACUAUGCCAGUGUCUUUCUUAUUAUUUUGUUUUCCUGCAGAAUUUCACUUCGAUAUCUCCGGAAAUUCCGAGCCCUGCAAAAUAGACAACCAUCUCCUUUUAUUGUUUGGGUUGACUAUUGGCAAUUAAAUUUUUUUUGUCAAAAGAACGACGAAAAUCACUAGCAUAGAACCAGAUAAACAGGCUCACUGGUGAUGAGAGAUGGUUUGAUUGUAGCAUGUCACAUUCAUAAAUCCGUGAGACAAAAAUAAAUCUUAUGCUUUAACUUGAUAAUAAACUCGGAUACGUUCACCGGAGAACCAACAUCUAACGGAGGGAGGAAUUUAUGUACUCCUAUAAACCUGAAUAGGUGGGCUCAUAAUUUAGUAGAUAUUUUCACAAUGUAUUUUGUAUCAAAAUCUUAUUAAUUUUAAUUCUAUUCGAAUAAUUCAAGGCACAUAGUCACGUAUUUUUUGAACACAAUACAAAAGUUGAUGCUUAUAUACACGCACAUGUAGCUUUUCCUCUUGGUCCUGGCGGCUCGAACCCUAGCCACCGCCAGGAGGACAAUCUUCUAGCACCGUCCUCUGGCGGCUCCCUUACGCCGUCGACUUCGGUCGUCGGUGGUGAGGGGGGUCGCCGGAUCCACGCAUGUGGAUCGUUUUACUCUCUCGUAGUCUAGGUUUUAGGCUGUUCAUCGUCUUGGAUCGUUUUACUCUCUCGUAGUCUAGGUUUUAGGCUGUUCAUCGUCUUGGCUUCGGAGGGGAUCCAUCCCUGACAAGGCCAUCGGUCCUACGAUUGGGGAUGAAUUUGGAAACAGCCUGAUCAAGCAAGGAUGGCGUGGCGGCGGUGGCAUCCUCGUGGUGGACCUGUGUCCCCGGACUCCGCCGUUGCGAUGGUGCUUUGCUCCAGCGUCAUUGUGGAGCUUGGGAGGUAGUCCAAGAACGGAUGUAGAUUGUGAUCUGCAUCGACGGCAUAUGGAAGAUGGAACGUGUGCUGGGUUCGUGGUUUGUGGAUGGCAGAUAUGGUUUCCUCCUUCGGCGUCUUAGUCGUGGUGGGGUGCCAGAUCUAAAGUUUGAUGGCGUGUCCGGGUUGUUGCCCUGGUCUGAUUCGUUCAACGGCAAUGGCUUCACUUUUGGUGAGCCACCUUGGAGGUCCGCUAAGCUGCAUAUCAGCGAUGGAGCCGCGUCCAGCUCGAGUGAGGAGGUGAUCCGUUAUUGUUUUCUUCGGUGGCUGCUAUGGUGGUGCCGGAGACAGGUGACAGGUGUUGGUGUCAAGUUCAGAGAUGUUCUGCUAUUUUUUCAGUUUUAUCAUGUCGGUCCUUACGUAACUUGUACUUUAAUCUUUAUAAUAUGAAUGAGACACGUAUUACCAUGCAAAAAAAUACACGCACAUGCACUCAACCACAUGAAUGUACACACGGACACCCUACUCACAGAGCCGGCCCUGAGGGGAUGGGCUGGGGGGCAGGGGGCGGCUGGCCGGGUCCCCAAGUUGCAGGGCCCCCACCAUGAGCACACAGCCAGCAAGCUAGCCCAUGCACGCAGCUAGGGUUAGCCCACACACACGCAGCCACUCUCGUUCCGUCGUCAGGGUUGUUCCUCGUCUCUUAUGCAGCUUCCUAAUUCCAAUCUGAGACCUCACAUCUUCACGAGGAUGGCGAUCCUGUCCUGACCCCAAAAAUGUUGCUCAGCAUCAUGGUUCGAUCGCACCUACACUUGGUACCGUCCAUCUCAAAUAACAUUUCUUGGGAUAUGUGUCACUUACCCUUCACAAAGUACGGCGGGAAUCAUCAACAAUUGCUAAACAUGCCCAGCUCUACAAAAUCUAUUGCAUGCGAAGACUCAUCAAGGAAUAAAAUACUACCAGUACAUUGAUACCAUGGCAAACUUUUUAACGUGCCUCGUUAUGCACCCCUAGAGUGGCCCCACACUCGGGUUGUCUGGAACCAAAUAUAGCAAAAAGCAUGUAUAGAAAACACACACCAUUGUAAAUUCGCAUGUCUUGCUUCCUGGUUCAGGCAAGAAAUUUUGAUGAAUAUCUUUGAGCUGAUAACUGUAUGUUUUCUAAGUAGGGAAGCUCUUUCCCGAGACGCAUCUUCUGUACCAUGAAUCUUUUUCCUAACUAGGGAAGAUCUUUUUAUCUUUUUUUUCUUCUUUGUGUUGGAUACGCUUAUAGGAAAAGGUUUUUUAAUGUGUUGACAACAUGAAUAUCCCUAGCAUACAUAAAAAAAGGGAAAUCAUCAACCAUUUGAGCAUUAAAAGAUAGCCAGCAGGUUAAAUAUCAAUGUAGAGAGACCGUGCAAUUUGAUAUAAAGGAAAUAUUAUAAAACAACAUGCAAGAUGAGCAGUACCGACAAGGUUGGAGAGAAUAAUAAUAUUUCGAAUUCUGGGGCUUGGGUCCAUGCUACAGUAGCUUAGGACCGUGUGCCAACCCAAGCCGCUAAUGACAAGUAAUUAACGUAAUCUCUGAAUUUCGAAUGCUAACAUGGCACAUAUCCCCAAGGAAGCAAUGCUACAUCGUAACCGAGCUUGGGUUCGACUAGACCAUGAUCUUGAAUCUCAUGUCUCGUCCGGACCCCCGCGGUGAUCGCGAUUCAUUGUUUCACCGGCAAACACUCUCUCCAAUCUUCAAGAGGUGUCAUCCACAUCGUGUCACCCCCAAGCUUACAAGUACCGAAAGCACCCACACACAUCAUGCUACCAGUUCACAUAUUGCACAUCGAUGCUGAGCUCCUGACCCAACUGAUUCAAGGUUAUCAUAUUAUUAUUCCCCAUCUUAUUGUUCGCUAUUUGCUAAUUGAGUAAUUUACCUUUGCAUAUAUUUGAUCAAUAGUUUUUCCAUUGUUCACCUUAAACGCAAAUCAGGCAAUACGAAAUGCUAGAAAAAUAACCGAGCUUAAAGGAUGCCCUUAAUGUUGAGAAACUAAAUAAAUUAUUGCAAUGGAAAUAUUAUUAUUAUUUGGUAAUUACAAAAUUCUCACACUUUUUGUACUCGAAUCAAAAGGAAUAAAUUGUAUCAACAGGAAGAAAUUGCAUUCUUCAUUUUUGAAUCUAAUUGUGUAUAGAAACUAUUUAAUAUGAACAUUAGUUUUGGAUAGAUUUAAAUUAUAAAUAUAUACUCCCUCUAUUCCUAAAUGUAAGUCCUUUUAGACAUUCCAAUAUGGACUACAUAUGAAGCAAAAUGAGUGAAUCUACACUCUAAAAUACAUCUAUAUACUACCGUAUGUAGUUCCUAUUGAAAUCUCUAAAAUGACUUAUAUUUAUAGAUGGAUGGAGUAUAUACACAUGUACACACACAUAUAUUAAUUAUUGUUGUUAUGAUGAUGGUUAUACUAAGGGGCCUAGAGUUUUUGUUUCGCCCCGGGCCGCAAAAAUCUCAGGACCGGGCCUGCCUACUCGUAUGAACACUUCCAAAAUACUAAGCUUGUAUAACAUCUUGAGAUUGACGAAGUCGCCACAGACGCCUUCAUAGUCGACGGAAAUAUCUCCUCCCACUGAAAGCACAUCGCUGGGAAAGCCUGAAAUAGUUUAAGGAAAAUGUGAGCCCCAGUGCCAAGUUUAGGUCUUGAACCCUGGUCGUUAGUUACACCACAAGGAAGAUAAACAUCUGAGCUCGCUCAGUUCGCACAUAGUCACACAGUCCAUCAAUCAAAGAACAUACAUUUACAGCAAGAUGCGAGAUUCGUUAAUGAGGUUGGGUGAACUCAUCUUUCUGUGCUCUACUCCCCUUGGAAUUGUAACAUUGGCCGCCCGAGCAUCAGCACACGCCGCCAGCUGCCCUGCAUGCAUGCCAUUAUCUAGUCGUCAUGACUUGUAAAGUCACAUUAUAUAGGACGAUGAGGAUAUAACAUGUCUGAUUCUGACACUAAUCCUAUCUUAUCCAUGAAAAAGUCCAAAAUAAAGCUUGAACAUGUAGAUGAAACCUAAAUUGAAUCCUCAAUUUGUAAUUUCGGAAAAUCAGCAGACCAAACUUUCUGUUCCCAGCCUAUUUUGAACCUUGAGGGUGUUUAGCUGGUAUUCACUGAUGUGGCAAUCAAAUCCUUGGAUCGUUGACUGGCUGCUGUACAUUAGCACAAAGCUGGCUGGCCUAUUAGCGCAGUCGCUCAAGCUGCUUAGAUUUCUUUUUCUUUUUCUGUUUCUUUGUUUUUCACUUUUGUAAUGAUAAUAUUUUUUCCUCAUAUUUUCGUAAUGACAACAACAUUUAUUUAAAAAAUUACCGUGCGACAGAAAAUACAGUGAACAAAGUACUUGACAGGACUCGAACUCGGAAUCUCGCAUUGAGAGUGCCCACAGCUAGCAACUCACCUUGCAGGCUGCUCAUGACUAUAGAUAGUGCGACCUCAAUAAGAACAAACAUGAGGGUUCAUAAAUUUAAACAUUUAAAAAAAUUGAAACAUUUCUUGAAAGAAAAUGUGAACAAGUUGGAAAUGCCGAAUACUUCCUUAAACGCAAAUAGUGUACGAAAUUCCACAAAUAUGUUUUGGUAAGUGUGACACAGUUUUUUAAAAUCCAAACAUUUUUGGAAACAUGUGAACAACUUUUGGAUUUAUAAUAAUGAUCUAAUUUAGGUUUUUUAGUACAUAUAUUUAAUUGUACAAGUUUAAUAUUUGAAUUAUGAACAUAGGCCGGAAAUGUCGUCCUCGGACGACGAAAGCCACCCGGGGGAGUGCGACUGGUGCCACGACGACCGAGGUAUGUGCAACAGGUUCCUUGAGCUGGACGAAGAUCGGCGCUUCAGCAUUAAGCUCGAGGAAACCUUCGAUGUUCAUACGGUACGCAACAACGACAAUAGUUUUUUUCGUAAUUAAGCACGACAUGAACUAUUUUAACGUGUAUUUUUCAUCUUUUCCAAUUCGACUAGCUUAUCCCAUGCUACGCAAGACGCUAUGUCUUGGAGAGGAUGGGUUUUGAAGACCAUGAAAGUAUGGAAACCAAAAAAAUUCACCUAAGGACCCAUCAUGGUGUGGAUUUUGAAGUAAAGUUGUACAAUGCUGAGAGUGUAACCCAUUUUGGUUGCAAAAAUUGGGAAGCACUUUGCAAGAUGUAUGAUUUUGAUGAGGGUAUGCUUGUCACCAUGGAUCUUGGUGAUCCUACAAUCAAGCAAGACAAUAUGGACAUUUGGGUCCUUGUGGAUACACCUCCAAUUCUUCCCCCAUGUGAGCUUAACAUAGUUAUUAAGUAAUUUAUAUUGUUUAUUUCAAAAUAGUUGACAACUUAUUUCCAUUGACAGCUUAUUUUUAUUCUUCAAAGAAUGUGCGGAAGAUGGUAGACAAAACCCACUACACCGAUGGCUCCGAAUUAACUUAUAAGGAAAAAAAACAUCUGAUCGCAUUUUGUACUGAUCUUGAGAAUUACAAUGUCUAUAAUCGAACUCCUCAACAUUAUGGUCAAUACGUGCCACUAGUGCACGUGUUGAACUACGGUAACUGCCAUGGAGAUACCCUGGUAAGAUUUUUUACUAUUACGACAUCCGUGCAUCUUUUUGCAUACUUCUAAAACUAGUACAUCAUUGCUAACUACGAAGUUAUUACUAUGUUUUUCAACAGAUAAUCCUGAAUGAUUGUGUGCCUCAUCUGAUGUAUACGCACGGUCGCUUUGAUGCUUUGAACAUACAACCAGGUCGUCCUACGAAUCUCAACUGUCCAUACCGGAUUUCUAAAAGAAGUGGAGACAUGACAAUCAAAGAAUGGAAAAAAUGUAUGGACAGUGGUAAGGAGCUUCUUGGACGCAAAAGGAAGCGAAGCGCAAGAAUUGGAGACAGGAUGUGUUGGGGAACGUAGUAAUUUCAAAAAAUUUCCUACGUACACGCAAGAUCAUGGUGAUGGAAUAACAACGAGAGGGGAGAGUGUUGUCCACGUACCCUCGUAGAACGUAAGCGGAAGCGUUAUGACAACGCGGUUGAUGUAGUCGUAUGUCUUCACGAUCCGACCGAUCCAAGUACCGAACGUACGGCACCUCUGAGUUCAGCACACGUUCAGCUCGAUGAUGAUCCCCGGGCUCUGAUCCAGCAAAGCUUCGGGGAUGAGUUCGGUCAGCACGACGGCGUGGUGACGAUGAUGAUGCUCUACCGGCGCAGGGCUUCGCCUAAACUCCGCGACGAUAUGACCGAGGUGGAAUAUGGUAGAGGGGGGCACCGCACACGGCUAAGGAACGAUCCGUAGAUCAACUUGUGUGUCAUGGGGUGCCCCCCUGCCCCCGUAUAUAAAGGAGGGAGGGGGAGGUGCGGCCGGCCUAGGAGGGGGCGCGCCAAGGGGAGUCCUACUCCCACCGGGAGUAGGACUCCCUCCUUCCUUGUUGGAGUAGGAGAAGUGGAAAGAGGGGGAGAGGGAAAAGGAAAAGGGGGCUGCCCCCCUUGUCCAAUUCGGACCAGAGGGGGGGGGGGGCGCAGGCCUCUUUCCUUUUGGCCUAUCUCCUCUAUUCCCGUAUAGCCCAAUACGGCCCAUAUACUCCCCGGCGAAUUCCCGUAACUCUCCGGUACUCCGAAAAAUACCCGAAUCACUCGGAACCUUUCCGAACUCCGAAUAUAGUCGUCCAAUAUAUCGAUCUUUACGUCUCGACCAUUUCGAGACUCCUCGUCAUGUUCCCGAUCUCAUCCGGGACUCCGAACUCCUUCGGUACAUCAAAACUCAUAAACUCAUAAUAUAACUGUCAUCGAAACCUUAAGCGUGCGGACCCUACGGGUUCGAGAACUAUGUAGACAUGACCUAGAACUAUUCUUGGUCAAUAACCAAUAGCGGAACCUGGAUGCCCAUAUUGGCUCCUACAUAUUCUACGAAGAUCUUUAUCGUCAAACCGCAUAACAACAUACAUUGUUCCCUUUGUCAUCGGUAUGUUACUUGCCCGAGAUUCGAUCGUCGGUAUCUCAAUACCUAGUUCAAUCUCGUUACCGGAAAGUCUCUUUACUCGUUACGUAAUGCAUCAUUUCGUAACUAACUCAUUAGCUACAUUGCUUGCAAGGCUUAUAGUGAUGUGCAUUACCGAGAGGGCCCAGAGAUACCUCUCCGACAAUCGGAGUGACAAAACCUAAUCUCGAAAUAUGCCAACCCAACGUGUACCUUUGGAGACACAUGUAGUACUCCUUUAUAAUCACCCAGUUACGUUGUGACGUUUGGUAGUACCCAAAGUGUUCCUCCGGUAAACGGGAGUUGCAUAAUCUCAUAGUUACAUGAACAUGUAUAAGUCAUGAAGAAAGCAAUAGCAACAUACUAAACGAUCAAGUGCUAGGCUAACGGAAUGGGUCAUGUCAAUCACAUCAUUUUACUAAUGUUGUGAUCCCAUUAAUCAAAUGACAACACAUGUCUAUGGUUAGGAAACAUAACCAUCUUCGAUUAAUGAGCUAGUCAAGUAGAGGCAUACUAGUGACUAUAUGUUUGUCUAUGUAUUCACACAUGUAUCAUGUUUCCGGUUAAUACAAUUCUAGCAUGAAUAAUUAACAUUUAUCAUGAAAUAAGGAAAUAAAUAAUAACUUUAUUAUUGCCUCUAGGGCAUAUUUCCUUCAGUCUCCCACUUGCACUAGAGUCAAUAAUCUAGUUCACAUCACUAUGUGAUUUAACACCAAUAUUCACAUCUACAUGUGAUUAAUACCCAUAGUUCACAUCAUCAUGUGAUCAACACCCAAAUGGUUUACUAGAGUCAAUAAUCUAGUUCACAUCGCUAUGUGAUUAACACCCAAAAGAGUACUAAGGUAUGAUCAUGUUUUGCUCGUGAGAGAAGCUUAGUCAAUGGGUUUGUCAUAUUCAGAGCCGUAUGUAUUUCGCAAAUAUUCUAUGUCCACAAUGCUCUGCACGGAGCUACUCUAGCUAAUUGCUCUCACUUUCAAUAUGUAUCCAGAUUGAGACUUAGAGUCAUCUGGAUUGGUGUAAAAGCUUGCAUCGUUGUAACUUUAAUGACGGGCUCUUUUAUCACCUCCAUAAUCGAGAAACAUCUCCUUAGUCCUCACUAAGGAUAUUCUUGACCCAUGUCCAGUGAUCUACUUAUUAGAUCAAAAUUGUAUUCCUUUGCCAAACACAGAGCAAGGUAUACAAUAGGUCUGGUUCACAGCAUAGCAUACUUUAUAGAACCUAUGACUGAGGCAUAGGGAAUGACUUUUCAUUCUCUUUCUAUUUUCUGCAAUGGUCGGGUCUUGAGUCUUACUCAACUUCACACCUUGUAACACAGGCAAGAACUCCUUCUUUGACUGUUCCAUUUUGAACUAUUUAGAAAAUUUAUCAAGGUAUGUACUCUUCCAAUUAACAAUAUUUCAUCCACAUAUAAUAGUAGAAAUGGUACAGAGCUCCCACUCACUUUCUUGUAAAUACAGUUCUUUCCAAAAGUCUGUAUAAAACCAUAUGCUUUGAUCAACUCAUCAAAGCGUAUAUUCCAACUCCGAGAUGCUUGCACUAGUCCAUUGAUGGAUUGCUUGAGCUUGCACACUUUGUUAGCAUCUUUAGGAUUGACAAAAACUUUUUGGUUGCAUCAUAUACAACUCUUCUUUAAUAAAUCCAUUAAGGAAUGCAGUUUUGACAUCCAUUUGCCAGAUUUCAUAAAAUGUGGCAAUUGCUAACAUGAUUUAGACAGACUUAAGAUUCGAUACGAGUGAGAAAAUCUCAUCGUAUUCAACACCUUGAACUUGUUGAAAACAUUUCGCAACAGGUCGGGCUUAGUAGAUAGUAACACUACUAUCAAUGUCCGUCUUCCUCUUGAAGAUCCAUUUAUUUAACAUGGCUUGCUGAUCAUCGAGCAAGUCAAUCAAAGUCCAUACUUUGUUCUCAUACAUGGAUCAUAUCUCAGAUUUUAUGGCCUCAAGCCAUUUCGUGGAAUCUGGGCUCAUCAUCGCUUCCUCAUAGUUCGUAGGUUCAUCAUGGUCUAGUAACAUGACUUCUAGAACAUGAUUACCGUACCACUCUGGUGCGGAUCUUACUAUGGAAGACCUACGAGGUUUGGUAGCAACUUGAUCUGAAGUUUCAUGAUCAUCAUCAUUAACUUCCUCACUAAUUGGUGUAGGAAUCACUGGAAUUGAUUUCUGUGAUUAACUAUUUUCCAAUAAGGGAGAAGGUACAAUUACCUCAUCAAGUUCUACUUUCCUCCCACUCACUUCUUUUGAGAGAAACUCCUUCUCUAGAAAGGAUCCGUCUUAGCAACAAAUAUCUUGCUUUCGGAUCUAUGAUAGAAGGUGUACCCAAUAGUUACCUUUGGGUAUUCUAUGAAGACGCACUUCUCUGAUUUGGGUUUGAGCUUAUCAUGCUGAAACUUUUUCACAUAAGCAUUGCAACCCCAAACUUUAAGAAACGACAGCUUAGUUUUACUGCUAAACCAUAUUUCAUACGGUGUCGUCUCAACGGAUUUAGAUGGUGCCCUAUUAAACGUGGCUGUCUCUAAUGCAUAACCCCAAAACGAUAGUGGUAAAACCGAAAAGAGACAUCAUAGAUCGCACCAUAUCCAAUAAAGUGUGGUUACGAUGUUCGGACACACCAUAACGUUGUGGUGUUCCAGGUGGCGUGAGCAGUGAAACUAUUCCACAUUGUUUUAAUUGAAAACCAAACUCGUAACUCAAAUAUUCGUCUCCGCGAUCAGAUCGUAGAAACUUUAUUUUCUUGUUACGAUGAUUUUUCCACUUCACUCUGAAAUUCUUUGAACUUUUCAAUUAUUUCAGACUUAUGUUUCAUCAAGUAGAUAUACCCAUAUCUGCUAAAAUCAUUUUGUGAAGGUCAGAAAAUAACGAUACUUGCCACGAGCAUCAACACUCAUUGGAUCGCAUACAUCGGUAUGUAUUAUUUCCAAUAAGUCAGUAGCUUGUUACAUUGUUCCAGAGAACGGAGUUUUAGUCAUCUUGCCCAAAAGGAAUGGUUCGCAAGCAUCAAAUGAUUCAUAACCAAGUGAUUCCGAAAAUCCAUCUUUAUGGAGUUUCUUCAUGCGCUUUACACCAAUAUGACCCAAACGGUAGUGCCACAAAUAAGUUGCACUAUCAUUAUUAACUUUGCAUCUUUUGGCAUCAAUAUUAUGAAUAUGUGUAUCACUACGAUCGAGAUCCAACAAACUAUUUUCAUUGGGUGUAUAACCAUUGAAGGUCUUAUUCAUGUAAACAGAAUAACAAUUAUUCUUUAACUUCAAAUGAAUAACUGUAUCGCAAUAAACAUGAUCAAAUCAUAUUCAUGCUCAACGCAAACGCUAAAUAACAUUUAUUUAGGUUUAACACUAAUCCCGAAAGUAUAGGGAGUGUGUGAUGAUGAUCAUAUCAAUCUUGGAACUAUUUCCAACACUCAUCGUCACUUCCCCUCAACUAGUCUCCGUUUAUUCUGUAACUCCUGUUUUGAGUUACUAAUCUUAGUAACCGAACAAGUAUCAAAUACUCAGGGGCUACUAUAAACACUAGUAAGGCACACAUCAAUAACCUGUAUAUCAAAUAUACCCUUGUUCACUUUGCCAUCCUUCUUAUCCACCAAAUAUUUGGAGUAGUUCCACUUCCAGUGACCAUUUCCUUUGCAGUAGAAGCACUCUGUUUCAGGCUUAGGUCCAGCUUUGGGCUUCUUCACGGGAGUGACAACUUGUUUGCCAUUCUACUUGAAGUUUCCCUUUCUUUCCCUUUGCCCUUUUCUUGAAACUAGUGAUCUUGUCAAUCAUCAACACUUGAUGCUCUUUCUUGAUUUCUACCUUCAUCAAUUUCAACAUCACGAAGAGCUUGGGAAUCACUUACGUCAUCCCUUGCAUAUUAUAGUUCAUCACGAAGUUCUACUAACUUGGUGAUGGUGACUAGAGAAUUCUGUCAAUCACUAUUUUAUCUGGAAGAUUAACUCCCACUUGAUUCAAGUGAUUGAAGUACCCAGACAAUCUGAGCACAUGCUUACUAGUUGAGCGAUUCUCUUCCAUCUUUUAGCUAUAGAACUUGUUGGAGACUUCAUAUCUCUCAACUCGGGUAUUUGCUUGAAAUAUUAACUUCAAUUCCUGGAACAUCUCAUAUGGUCCAUGACAUUCAAAACAUCUUUGAAGUCCCGAUUCUAAGACGUUAAGCAUGGUGCACUAAACUAUCAAGUAGUCAUCAUAUUGAGCUAGCCAAACGUUCAUAACGUCUGCGUCUGCUCCUGCAAUAGGUCUGUCACCUAGCGGUGCAUUAAGGACAUAAUUCUUCUGUGCAGCAAUGAGGAUAAACCUCAAAUCACGGAUCCAAUCCGCAUCAUUGCUACUAACAUCUUUCAACACAAUUUUCUCUAGGAACAUAUAAAAAUAAACAUAUGAAAGCAACAACGCAAGCUAUUGAUCUACAACAUAAUUUGCAAAAUACUACCAGGACUAAGUUCAUGAUAAAUUUAAGUUCAAUUAAUCAUAUUACUUAAGAACUCCCACUUAGAUAGACAUCUCUCUAGUCAUCUAAGUGAUCACAUGAUCCAAAUCAACUAAACCAUGUCCGAUCAUCACGUGAGAUGUAGUAGUUUCAAUGGUGAACAUCACUAUGUUGAUCAUAUCUACUAUAUGAUUCAUGUUCGACCUUUCGGUCUCCGUGUUCCGAGGCCAUAUCUGUAUAUGCUAGGCUCGUCAAGUAUAACCUGAGUAUUCCGCGUGUGCAACUGUUUUGCACCCGUUGUAUUUGAACGUAGAGCCUAUCACACCCGAUCAUCACAUGGUGUCUCAGCACGAAGAACUUUCGCAACGGUGCAUACUCGGGGAGAACACUUCUUGAUAAUUAGUGAGAGAUCAUCUUAAAAUGCUACCGUCAAUCAAAGCAAGAUAAGAUGCAUAAAGGAUAAACAUCACAUGCAAUCAAUAUAAGUGAUAUGAUAUGGCCAUCAUCAUCUUGUGCUUGUGAUCUCCAUCUUCCAAGCACCGUCAUGAUCACCAUCGUCACCGGCGCGACACCUUGAUCUCCAUCGUAGCAUCGUUGUCGUUACGCCAUCUAUUGCUUAUACGACUAUCGCUACCGCUUAGUGAUAAAGUAAAGCAAUUACAGGGCGUUUGCAUUUCAUACAAUAAAGUGACAACCAUAUGGCUCCUGCCAGUUGCCGAUAACUUCAGUUACAAAACAUGAUCAUCUCAUACAAUAAAAUAUAGCAUCACGUCUUGACCAUAUCACAUCACAACAUGCCCUGCAAAAACAAGUUAGACAUCCUCUACUUUGUUGUUGCAAGUUUUACGUGGCUGCUACGGGUUUAGCAAGAACCGUUCUUACCUACGCAUCAAAACCACAACGAUAGUUCAUCAAGUUAGUGCUGUUUUAACCUUCGCAAGGACCGGGCGUAGCCACACUCGAUUCAGCUAAAGUGAGAGAGACAGACACCCGCCAGCCACCUUUAAGCACGAGUGCUCGUAACGGUGAAACCAGUCUCGCGUAAGCGUACGCGUAAUGUCGGUCCGGGCCGCUUCAUCUCACAAUACCGCCGAACCAAAGUAUGACAUGCUGGUAAGCAGUAUGACUUGUAUCGCCCACAACUCACUUGUGUUCUACUCGUGCAUAUGACAUCUACGCGUAAAACCUGGCUCUGAUACCACUGUUGGGGAACAUAGUAAUUUCAAAAAAUUUCCUACGUACACGCAAGAUCAUGGUGAUGGCAUAGCAACGAGAGGGGAGAGUGUUGUCCACGUACCCUCGUAGACCAUAAGCGGAAGCGUUAUGACAACGCGGUUGAUGUAGUCGUACGUCUUCACGAUCUGACCGAUCCAAGUACCAAACGUACGGCACCUCCGAGUUCAGCACACGUUCAGCUUGAUGACGAUCCCCGGGCUCCGAUCCAGCAAAGCUUCGGGGAUGAGUUCCGUCAGCACGACGGCGUGGUGACGAUGAUGAUGCUCUACCGGCGCAGGGCUUUGCCUAAACUCCACGACGAUAUGACCGAGGUGGAAUAUGGUGCGAGUUCCAAGUGCAUGAUACUACUUAUGUUACCCCCGCUGUGGCCAGCCUUAAGGACUGGCCGUUGUGACUAACAGAUGGAUAAGUAGCAAGGUAGUUUCUUCCUUAAUUAAUUUGAGCAAUUAUUCAAAGCCAUAACUCUUAAUGGACCCGCUACUCAGUCGCACGUGAGUCCCAAAUAUGGUGUACCUAGUGCCAAGCUUAUCCAACGCAUGCAUGGAUCUCUACUCCUAAUGUCUCCGUUGGUAGUCCGUGUUCCGGGUUUUAUUUUCGUCCCACCUAAUAUGGUCUUUUUUGUACUUCUUUGUUACUUGCUCCCACCUCCCACCCACCAUGGUUUUUUUGGUACCUGCUCCCACCUCCCAGUUCCAAAAAAACCCAACCAAAACCACGUUCACGUAGUUCUCUCGCAAGCGACUGAAUCGAAUGAAAAUAAACCUCCGAAGAAAAACCAGCGAAAAAAAACCCUCCACGACCCGCACGUAGGCAGGAACGAGCGAGGCCUCCAGGUCCAGGGUGCCCACCUCUCCUUCUCUCUCGCCUCCCACCCUCACCCUCCCGAUCUCGUGAGCUGCAGGGGAAAUCAGUCUCCAGAAUCGCCACCACCGAUGCCGCUCGGUUCCCCUCUGCAAUGGUCUCCACCAGCGCCGCAUGCCCCCAAGAAAAUGGUGACCUUGGAUGAAAACGUGCGGCUCGAUCGACCUUGAGAAGAUCCCCAUCAAUGCGGACUCCCCUAUGUAAGUCCCCAAUUCCCCUCCAUUCUCCCUCCCUCGAUCCAAAUCUCGUACCCACAGAUCUAGAUCACGGCCAUAGGGAAACCAACAACGAGAAGAAGCGGCUCGCCGACAUAUGCCAUGUCGACUUCUCCUUUUGUCAUCAAUGGAGGCGCCACGAAGGCUAAGAGGAAGGCCCCAACAGCCCUGGCCAUGAUAGGGCCUCAUGUAGAGCCUGAAGUAGGUGCAACAUCAUAGUCCAUCCUUGCACAUACAAAAAACAGAACUUUAUUUCUGAUUAUGGUCGACGUGAAUAAUGAUGUUACUACAGGCCUAUUUUUUUCUUCUGAUUAUGGUCCUUUCAGUAUUGAUUCUUGCUUGUAUAUUAAGAAUUAAGUUCCCCUGGUUAGAAGUAACCAUCAGUUCUUUCUACUUUCUAAAGAACUAGCAUUCUUUUCUCUUUAUUUUUUCGUCCAUAUUAAAUUGUUUGGCACAAACAUACAUCUGAAAUAAAUGCAAGUCUAUAUCAAGUACUAAGAUUAAGAUGGAUGGGAGGUCACGGAUGCUAGGUCGGAAUUUGAAUGCUAAUGCCUUCACUACUUUGUUGUGCUGUUUAUCUUACACAGUUAUGAGUCCGGCGUGUGGAUCGGUCAUCGGUGAAAGCGGCCGCCUAAUUUCAGAGUUCUUCCUUUGUUCUCCCAGGACCAAACCAACGAUCAAUGUGUGGUGAGAAUGACAGCAGUAUGCACCACAUUUGCAGUCUUAACUACAUGGUAAGCUUUACUAAACUAAAACCUGUCCAAACGUUUGCAACCAACGUUGGAAAAAUUUAUCAGGUUGCAGUUUUGCGGCCGUGUCGAAUCGCUUUUAUACUUAAUACUUUUGAUGGGUUGUACAAGCUGGUUGAAAACUGCCACUGGUUGCUACAACCUACAAAUAUACAGAUCUUCAUUAUAUGAUUCACUAUAUAUGAACUUCUCUGUGCAUAAAUUGUGUUUUUAGACGAUUCACUGUAGAAAUUGGUGUGCUAUAACAGUGAGACUGUUCUAUAUAUUGCUAUCCAGAUUUGACAUUUAGUUUCCAUAACCUUUAUUUUUCUGUUAUUAUUAAGGACAACAUGCUAAUUUCUCUAAUCCACUCUUAUUGUAAUGUUAUGAUUUUUUUUCUAGGUUAGUAAAACUUUUUAUUCAGCUCAAAGAGGUCCUGCAGUACAUCCUAGGAAAUAAAGCCGAGUCAAUUCGGUGAGGAUAAACUGGAUCGCCUUCUAUUGUGGCGGGUCAAACUAUUUUUUGAAACACCACCACCACCUACAUGCUUUUUUCUUCCUUUUCUUUCUAAUAGAGCGCUGAUAGUACCUACUUAGAUAUGUUAGUGGAUGCAUCCAAGUCUUAUUUGGCACUUCUUUUUUAAGCUGAAUGGAGAGGUCAUAGUUAGCUAUAAGUUGUUUGCUACUGUAUUUCUUUAGUUCCAAUUAAUUGGAUUUGAUUUUAAAGUUCUACAGCCAAAUGAUAGUUCAGAGAGAGUACAUGUUGUUACUCCACUUAUUUAAAAACUACCAGAGAGAGUACAUGUUGUUACUCCACUUAUUUGACUAAAUGAUGCAAAUGCUUUCCCCAUAGGAUAACUUGACAAUUUGUCGAGAGAAGUAAUAGAAACCAUCAAGCUUAAAGAGCAAAAGUUUGAGCAUUGAAACAGUGAGUUCAGAUGCCAUGUAGUUCAUAGUCUAUGUGCAACGACUCUUUAAUUUGACUCAAGCAAAUGUGAUUUCUGGUUCUACCAAAUUAUUUUAUUUUAUUGUGCAACACAAGUAUCUUUAUUUGACCUUGUUUCCUUAGACUAUGAAGAGGUUAGAAGAAAAAAGUGUUGAUUGUUGUAUUGUCACAUUGUACAUCAUAAUCAUUGUUGUAUAUGUUUUUGCAUACAUACAUCAAUGAUGUACAUAGGCAGAAGAAGUCUUAACAGAGCUAUUUCAAAACAAGAUGAGGACAGCCCCAAUGAUUUAAACAGUAAAAUACUAACCUGCACAUGAUCAUAUAAUGUACGGAUCACAGGCUGGCUAAACCCUUCUUUCGAGUCUCCUAACAUUGUCUACUUAAUUUUCAGUACCUGCAAGGUCAGCUAGCUACAAAUUUGGGUAUGCUGCUAUAUGCCUUCAGUUUGUAAAAUAAGAUGCAUAUAUUCAGCUUGAUUCAUUGCUCAGGAUUUUUGAAUAUAUGGCUUCUAAUUCCAUCGCCCAAGAACUUAAUUCAGAAUCUGAAAAUUGAAGGGGAGGUAGAGGAAUAUUGUCGGUCCUGUCCAGAAACAUUGCUUGCUUUUUAUUCCAGUCGAUGUAUUUCUCGUGUGUCUCAUUGAUAGAGUAUUUUAGUUGGAGCAUGCGUAUAUUAGUGUCUUAGGAUUUGCAUAUGCUUUAUCCACUAAUAAUUCCGAUUUACAAGACAUAUAUUUAUAUUUGGAUUACAGAUUCUUUGUACUUAUUGUCGUACUUCGUGUGGUACCUCUUGAAGGAGGUAGUACAACGCAAGUCACCGUAAGUCAAUGUGUGUAGCACAAUAAAACGGAAGAAUCUUAACUAAGAGGAUUCAUCGACAAGGGUCACAAGGCGAUGUCAGUCGAAUGGGUUAAAAAUUCACCAAGUUUUAAGUAUUAUAUAUGUAAUCACAAAAAAAUCGGCCUGUAACAACUGAUUCUGUUUUUUUGUCAAGCGGGUAUCCAGAUUGGGCAGCAAAGUAGACAACAAAGGUUGACAAAUGAUUGUGUUCUGCACCUUAGUCCAGGUACAACUUAAAAGUAGAUUGAUAUUUUUCAUUUAAUAUUGGUGUGCUCUCCAGCAAGAACAAUUUUUUGACUGGACGUGUUUCAUUACAUAUGCCCUUUUAUUUGUGUGAAGUUGUUGAGAAUUUUCUUUGAUUCUUUAUUUUAACAGUGUAAAAAGGAGUAUGGGUAAUGUUUGGUUCCAUGCUGGUCUAAGGAAGGAACAAAAGCAAAUCAUAACCCUACCGGCCACCUCCUAGGUUGGGCACUGCUGCCACUAGGCGUCGCCGUCUUAGUUGCAAGGUACAGAUUGCACCACGUGCAAUGUCUUGCUAUGCAUGGCCACUGAUGUCAAAGGUGGGUUCCAGUUUGACGACCUCUCGACCGAGUCUCCAUGCAUGAUUUGCAUAUUUCCUGUACUUUAUCCAUCUGCAGUUAUACUAUCUUGCAAGUAUGGCUUAUCCUGGUUGAUGUCAUGUUUCUUUGAUAGUUGUGUAUUGCUCCUAAUAGUGGCAUAUCCUGCAUCCAUCUAUUGAUUUGGUUUAGAACUUUAUUUUUUCUUCUUAUGUGCCAAGAUGAUUUACUAACUUUAGCUCUGAAUCUCACGCUCCAUUGAUUUUAUGGUGCUUUCACAUGGGUUAAUUGGCAGACUAUUGUAUACGGGAAGCUACAAAUUUUCUGAUCCAUUCUUGUGCCUAAUGGCAGGCAAGUUUGCACUUAAAAGUGGAUAGGUUGAAUGAACUGUUGAAAGGAGCCAAUGCUUGCAUAUGAGUAUUUCCUUGCCUAUUUGCUUGAUUAUUUAAUUGAAUGGAUAACUGUGGCGCGUCAAUAUUGUUCCGUAUAAUUGUCCUAAGUCAACUGAAUUAGUGAUCUAAAUCAAUUGAUAUUUUUUGAAGCUUCAAGCUUUAUUUCUUGUGCUUCAUGACAUCAAUUGUUUGUGCAAAUACAAGAUUUAUUUCUUGCAAUGUAUGAUAGUAGGGAUUAGUGCAUUACUGCCACACACUGAUGUGAUCAUCCAUGUCUGCUGAGGUGCCUUAGGUUUGUGAUGCUGAAGUUGUCAUACAUAUGCAAUUUUUUCUAUUAUUCUUUCACCAAAAUGUUAUUAACCAUGCGAAACUUUUUGCUUCUCUUUUAUCUGAUUCUAUUUGUAGACCAAGCGAUUUAUUUAUGAUAGCGAAUUUCUGGUGUACAUGUGAAUAUCUCAUGUCUAUAGUCAGUACACCUCCCUGAACAAGAUCAGAGUAUUAUAUGAACAAGCAUGGUUUGUAGUAUGAUCUACUUAUCAUUAGUUCAUGAUACUCCCUUCGUCCCAAAAUUCUUGUCUUAAAUUUGUCUAAAUACGGAUGUAUCAAGUCACAUUCUAGUAUUAGAUACAUCCAUAUCUAGACAGAUCUAAGACAAGAAUUUUGGGACGGAGGGAGUACCUAGAUGUAUGAUAUCCAGCCUGCCAAUGUGGUCGCAGAACUUGCUAUUUAUAAUCUCCUAAUGAAAUGUUAUGAUUUGUAUGGUAUAGGAAUGAAAAUACUUUCAGAUGUCAAAGAACAUUCAAAGCAUCUAACUAUACUCGCAAAAAGCAUAUAAAUAUGCAUUUUAGUAAAUUGCCAAAAUACUCUUUUCAGUAUAAAAUGUCAUCUUAAAAGAUGGAAUUGUAUCUUUUUUGGGUGACUGUUGGGUUGUCUGAUUGUUCACUAAUCAUUCUUCGAGGGAUUCCUUGCCUCCACACUUAUCAUCGCCUCCCAACAUGUCACUUUCAGGUGGGCAUCAUGACAGCUGCCAUAUAGGAGAACUCCCUAUCGUUGAUAUGCUCAACGGCGGUGACAUGCCUAGAGCAGUGCAUAACAUCGCAGGAGAAGUCACAGGCUGUGGGGCUUUGCGGAGACUUCCCGCCACCAAGGCGAGCCUCCCCAUUUUAUAAUUCUCUUGGCCCUCUCUACCAUGCCUUGCAUUUUUUUCCAGAUCUUCUAGGAUUAUUCACUACCGCCUCCACUGAAACGUUCGGACGUCUUGGUCAUGCAGAAGUCACAGAUAGUGUUUUUACAAAAUCUUGCUAAUAAUCAUAUGACCUGGCUCCCAGAAUAUGUGUAUUUGUAUGUGCCAAAUUAAGGUUGCCCAUGUAAUUGUUUGCUUAUUCAUUACAACCAGUAUGUUUGCUUAUUCUUGGUUUACAUUUUUGUGCUAUUUUGUUAGUUCUCAAGAAUUCUAAAUAUUUUUUGUUUUCAUCUUCCGGUUGCGGUAUUCACAUAAAGGAUGAACAACAUUUAUCAUUUGUUCUUUUAAUAUGGUAGUGUUUCUAAUUCAUUUAUUCAAAUAUUAUGCAUCUUUUCCAAUCUGUGUGGACUGAGGGCGGGUAGUUACAUUUACAUAUACCUACAUUGUUUCUCGUAGGAACGCAUUAGCAGGACCUCGGGAAGCCCAUCGUCACACCGCCCUGGGUCGUCAAGUCUCCAUUGCCGCCAUAUUUGUUCAACAUCAAAUUAAAUGAAUCCAGAAAUCAAGUGAUAGUUUGGUCAUAGUGGGUUGAAUUGGGAAGCCAGCAAGUUAUGCACUAUUCUCGUGAUGGGUUUUUGGCAUGUUUUGGUUCAUAAUUAGCUUGGUGAUCUGCAUUAGUCGUGGUUUGCUACUGAUUAUUUUUUGGUUCAGUUAUAUCUAUCUUUGCCUAUUCAACUCCAUGAAUGAAUCCAUGUACAUGUCUUUACUUUCCUGUUCUAUUUUGAGAGCACACAUAUUGAGUUGUGCGGGGCCAUGUCGAGUAUACCUAUUGAGUUGUGCAGGUUAAUGUCUAUCUCUAUAUGUACAGUAGCCCGUGGCGUCCUGGAAGUUUGACUAGGAAAGGCAACAACAAAACUGCGUCCUGGAAAUGUCAUUCUACCUGGUCUUAUGAGUUUACUGAAUUGACAGACUCUUGUUUCAAUGUUUCUAAUGCUCACACCAUUAUGUCAGGCAAAAUUAUGGGGUACAUGUCUUUGCUAAUACCUCCAAAUUAUUCUCUGCAGUGAAGAAUCAAGCCUAUCUAUUUUAGGUCAGUGUUUUUUGUAUUCACUAAAUAUUGCCAGUGGUGAAGCCGAAACUAAGAAGUGUGCGUGAGGAAGGCAAGCGUGCGGGCGACCAUGAUGUGUCUUGGAGAAAGGGUGCAUAUGGGAUUACUUAUUACCCAUUGGGUCUGCAAAUAUGAGAGGUAAAAAUUUUCACUGUAGUGCAAGGCACGUUCUAAGUUUCAUCUUCGCACAUGAUUAUGGGCUUAUGGCAUCUGAUCAGCUUUCCCUUGACAUGCAUAAUUGCAACACCGUCCCGAUCAUUCCAAAAAUAGAUUGUCUAUGAUUAUGAGAGUAACCACAGGAACAGACGGAAGUGGCGAGACUCAUUACGAAACAUCCAGAUUCUUUACCCCUAGGACAGUGACAGUGCUAACUUUCAUGUAUGUAUGUUAGGUGUUACGAUAUGACCUUUUGUUUAUGUAUGUUAACAUUCAAAAAUGUUUGAUGAGAUCAAUAAUGUAUAUAUGAAAAUGUGAUAAAACUGAACAUAUAUUGUACUCCGUGUAUUUGAAUAAAUAAAUUAACUAAAGAACCCAUACUUUUAUUUAUCAUCAAGUGGCAAGGCAUGGGUAUUUAGCUCGAGUUGUGCAUGGGCUGCUCGAGCUGCACGCCAAUGUGGAGGCCCCGCACCGCCGCUGAUGGCCUGAUGUUGUUGCACGUCGUGGCGGGGACGUCCGUGUGUGCGCUGCUUGUGCUGGGCGCUGAUGUGGUCGCCCCCGAUCGGAAGGGACGCCGCUGGAGUUGCCGCGGGAUAUGGUGGUGGUCCGCUGAUGGAACUGGGAGCAGACGCGGAGGCAAUGGGCCCGACUCUCUGUGUGCAAAUCAUGAUGACUUGGAGCACUGUCAUGGGAAGUUUUUAUUCAUCUUUACCUAUAUUUAUUGUAUUAGGUUCCAUUGGCAGGUGAGAUUCUUAUCCUGAAUGCUUUAUAUUCUAUUUUUGCCAAGACACUUCUCCUUAAUAUGUUCAAUAUUCAUAAUAAAUUUGUUGCGGUAGAAUUACAUGAUUUCUAAACAUUUUGAUUCAUAAUACCAAUUUGUUGUAUCAUGGGGUUUAUUAGAAAUCCUAAUGCAUUUCUAAUCAGGAUUGUUUCUAAUGGUGAUUAAAUCUGUCAUAGUGUCAACAGGUUAAAGACGAUGUACCCUUUUCCCGUUUGGAUACCAACCAUUGCAUUCAACAGUAAGAUCUGUUGCUUAUUUACUUGUAGAAUCAAGUGGGUUAGAGGCAUCUGCUUUUAACUAUUUAUGACACUUCAAUAGAACACUCUUUUCUUAUUUGUGUGAGUACUAUUUGUUUCACCUUUUGCACCUCAUCGUCAUAGCAUCUGGUUUCAAAAAUGAAUGACUACUUGCGAAGGUAUUGUUUUUAGUUUCUUCUUUUUGGUUCAGCUUCUUUGAUUUUCAGUAGUUGGUCCGUUAAUCAUCUAAAAUUUUCCUGAUUUCACAUCCAUGGUAUCUGCUUUGCUUUAUUACCUGUUCAUGGUUCACUCAUGAUUUGUUUCUUUCUCCCUAUCAGUCUUACCAUUUUGUUUUGCUUGCUUUACCUUGUAGCUUCUUCCAGUAGUUGUUUUUUCCCUUUAUGUCAGAGCUGCUCUGUCACACUUUUUAUGCUUUUACGAUGUCCUAAUAAAAGUUUUGUGUGGGCAGAUAAUUUUUUGCUUACUACAAACCGUAAGAAGCUGAAGCUUACUGAUUUAGGGCUUGCACGAGAGGAAACUGUAACUGAAAUGAUGACUUCUGAAACUGGGACAUACCGAUAUGGACAUAGAGGUUAUAAAUCACUCUUUUCCACACUAGAUAGUCAAUAUUAAAAAAAUUAGGAACUGAAGCCGAAAUAAAAUGGUUCCUGGUUGUAGUUUCCCGGGUGGAUUCUUCAAAUUAUACUUCAAUUUGUAUGCCCUCGCGACAAUUUUCUGCCUGAAGUUUCUAGAGCUCACUGAUUUUAGGACCUUCUAUACAAAGAGAAAUCUGAUGAUCUAGAAUUUGUGUAUGAAGAUUGCUUUAAUAACAAUCGCAAAUAUAAUUAUAUUCUUCAAUUAAGUAAUGAUAAUGUAAUAUUGCAUCCUGUCAUUUACAAUCAGAUAGACAAGUGACCUUAAGUAUAAGGUUUCAAGCUAUUUAACGCUCAAUGCUUGUUAUAUAAUUCUCCGUGGUAACAUCAACUAAGUUGGGCAUCAUAAUUGGCACUGAACAUCCAAAGUUAAGUUCGUGCUCACCAUUUCACGAUUAUAUUUUUGGUACUGAUAUUUUCAUAUUACCAGUUCGCUGAAGAUAGAGCUCUGGCAUUGUAUUGAAUCUCAACUCCGCAUGAAAGUGUACAACUUCACUGUUAUGUUCUGGCACUCGAAUUUGCUAUGCUUUUCAUGCUAGGAAUACUUACACGUUCAUUCUUAAAUCAUCUUGUUAUAUGGCAUUGUAGGUCUGAUGGAAAAGAACUUCUGUGAUAUAGGCCAGGGCGGAGGACGCUGUAAAUGGAAAACAUGGCUCGGCAUGAAGGUUCACUCGCCAAUAGUCUUCAAGAAGAUGCGAAGGUCAUGGUUCUGUGUUGAUGCCCCUUGAAAAAAAAUAUCUUCUCAUUUUCUUGUUUGAAGGAACUCUAGGAGGAAUUGAGGAUGUGAAAAAUGUACGGAGGAAAGGGAGACUAGGAGAGGUGCACGGUGAGGCAUCGACGCAUGCUUUUUGUCACGGUGUUCUCAUAUCCAAACUUGAAUCAAGUAUGCUUUUUGAAUGGCUUGCACUAAAGCAGAGUAUAAUUCUUAUACUUGUGUUUUAAAUUGACUACAUGUUGUCGUCUCCUCUCGCAUACAUCUUCCGUAACUACCAUUUUGUGAUAGGUUGUUAAGCUACCAUUCAAGGGAAUGCAUGUUGACAAAUGUAUUGAUGCUUCCUUGAGUCUACUACUAAUAUAUUUGUAAUGUAUUUUUCACUGAAAAAAGCACCGCUAAUAGCACACUAUAGAAUUGUCUACCUACAUAAAUCAAUGUACACUGCCUCUCUAAUAGAAUGCCAUAGUGCGAUAUAGCAUGCUAAUAGUGUAUUUUAAGGCCGCUCCUAUUUUGUUAUAACGCGCUAAUUUUUUCAUUGAUUUUUAUAGAGUUUAUCUCUACUCCUAAUGUCUCAGUUGGUAGUUUCCGUUCUAUGGUUAAUUUUUGUCCCACCUAUCAUUGUUUUUUUUCGUCCUUCCUCCACCUCCCAGCGAUUCCCCCCUCCGCGCUUCGGAUCCACCUGCCACCUCGCCGGAGACGAACACCGCCGCGGAUGCGAGGGGAACGGGACCAGACCGAGCACCGGCACCCGUUUCAGUAAGCUCGCUGCGCCCGUUCUCGUUGGUCGCGCCGCACACAGCUCGUCGGAGCCCCUAGCCGCGCCGAUGAGAUGGUCGGUGGGCAGAGUCGCACGGUCGAUGCACGCGGCAAUGCAGCGGGGGGAGGGGAGAUGGCCGAGAUGUUGGAGUGAGUGGAGAAGAGAGGUGAAUGAGCCACAAGACCGGCCGCGGCAUGGGACUGAUGUGGUGGUUGGAGGGCGGAGUCGCACAGUUGCGGGCUCGGCGACUCGCGCGGCGAUGCGGUGGGGGGAGGGGAGAGGGCGAGAGGUGGCGGAUGAGUGGAGAGGACCGGUGAGUGAGCCCCAAGAUCUGCCGCGACAUGUGACAGAUUGGCGGUCGGUGGGCGGAGUCACGCGGGCCGGCUCGUCGAGGCACGCGGCGAUGCGGCGGGGGAGGGUAAAGUGCAAGAGGAAGUGAGUGAGUGGAGGGGAGAGUGGUGAGUGAGUGGGGUUAGGGUUGGGAUGCGGUGGGGGGAGGGGAAAAGGCGAGGGGUGGCCAGUGAGCCCAGAGGCCAGAGUGCCAGGUGGGCCGUCGAGCCGGCCCGUGAGGCAGCUUUGCCGUGCCUGGGCCGGGAGGCCAGCACGCGUGCCUGCCGGGAAGUGUCGUGCCUGGCCCGUGUAAUCCUGGCCGGGCCGGGCCGGCCAAUUUGUCCAGGUAUAUUGUAAUCCCUCAAAAAGUAUAUACUGUGGAUAAGGUAAUUUCUUUUAUAGUUAUUUUUUAGGGGAUAUCUAAUUUGGGCCUUGUAUGAAAAUUUUGCUCAACGAUAGAAAUUCUAAACUCGCAUGUGUGGGAAUUUAUGACAAAAAAAUAGAUAUUAAAAGUAUACAUACCUCACAGAAACAAUAAAAGUAUAUAUAUAUAUAUAUAUAUAUAUAUAAUAUGGUUCAUAAAAAUAAAUAUAUUUUAUAAUUACCUUUCAUAUACUAAGGGUAUCACAAUAAAAUUGAGAGAAAAAACAAAUAUACUUGGUUGAAGAAGGUUUGUUUGCAUAUUUUUUUACUUUUGUUGGACAAUUUUCCAUGGCCUAUAUUAAUAAUUUAAAUAAUUUUCAUAUGACUAUUUACUUAUAUAUGAACAUUACAGUUUGUUGUUUUCCCCAAAUUUUGUGUUAGUACAAUUAUUUAAUCAACAUAUUUUCCUAAUAAUGUCAACUAUGUUUUUUUAUAGAGAAAAUAGUUGUGUCAGUUUCAUUUUUAUUUUUUCCAGAUAUUAUAUAUGAUUAUACUCCCUCCGAUCCCUUUUACUCUGAGCAUAAGUUUUUCUUGUUUUUUCCGCAAUACUAUGCGCGAUCCUGAUUUGUAGCGGUUUCUUCCAAGUCUAUCCUAAACUUCAGCCCCGCAUGCAACGCUACCUCCUCCUGUGCAUUAAUUACUGACCGCGCAUGCGGCGCAUGCAAAGGAGAAUGGGCCAAUAACAGCCAUGCAGAGGAAACGAGGAGGACGGGCCAAUAACUGGCUCCGGUGAUCAUAGCUUCCUAGUUUUCCUGGUCGCCGCAAUUCAACUAGCACUGGGGCAAUUUCGUCCAAAAAAAUACAAGUAGGUCUCCUUGGUAUGCGUGAUGUGAGUUAUGCGUAGACUAAAAAAAUAGGAGGGAGUAUUAUGCAGUAGAAAAUAUCAUUUAUAUUUGAUCAUAUAUAUUUCAUCGUAAAUACAAAGUGAUGGGUUCCGACAUAUGCACUGAUGUAACGAUGACAGACCGCACUGAAACACCACGAAAAGAGGUGCAUAUAGCUAACCUUCCUCGGUAUGUAUAUUGUACAUGCAAAUACGAAAGGUAUAUUUUUGUAUAUUAUUGUUUCUUCAGAAUAUAGGAGACAUGGAUAUGGACUUUGGAUAUGCACAAAAAGAAUCCAUUGAGGGUUCCGAUGCAAAGUUGCUGAAAGGGACAAUAAAUUCAUCGAGUUUUUUACAACAUAAUGAUGUCGAAGCGGUGAUAUUUCAUAACAAACAAAAAAAGAUGCCAAUUUAAAUGUUAUCGCACAAAGUAUUUCUUUGAUGUUAUUAUCAAUAUUUUCUUUGUGAAAUUGCCUUUUGUAUUCAACUAAUUUGGCUCAUUUUAUUGUCUAAGUUGGCUCACUUUUUUAUGACGUCGACAAACUAUGUUUGGACCCCUAGAGAUAUUUCAGUCAUCGAAUCAAUCAUGUCUGCCCCCAAGAAAACCUUGUUCGUGGACAUCUUGUUAUUAACGGACGAUUUGGAAUGCCUUUUGAAAGAUGAUAUGUCCUUACACGAUGGUGUAAGACCAACUGCAUAAACUUUGUAAUUAAUAAUUGCAACUGCAUAAACUGCAUGAUAUAUAUAUAUAUAUAUAUAUAUAUAUAUAUAUAUAUAUAUAUAAUCUAAAUGGUUGACUACAAGUGAUAAAUGCUUACAUAUAUUGCAUGCUUGCUCCAGACCAUCUACGAGGCAUGUGAUAAAUGUCGUUAGUCUUUCUUUUGGGUAUCAAUUUUCAUUGCAAAAUGGACUUCAAUUAUUCAGUAAUUGUGUUUGUGUUAUAUUGUUUGUGCAUGUGAAAUUUAACAGGUAACUCUUGUAAAUUUUUUCAAGAGCCCGUGGCAACGCACGGGCACUCUACUAGUAAGUAAGUAAAGCUGGAUGUUGGGAUAAGCAUUGCAUGUAGCUGAGUCCAGCGAAAAGAAAGGAACUGACGCACGGGAGAUGCUAGCUCGCCAACGGGCCGAUGGAUUGCCUCCAUCUAACCCUUCGGCUGCUUUGCCCUAGAGGAUCCCUAUACACAUCCAUCCAUCUACGGGAGGAGGGGACAGGCACACACCCGGCCGUCAGGCUGCUCACGCACACACACGCACAGCCGGCCGCCAGGCUGCUCACACACGCGCGCGGCGGCGGCGGCGGCCGCCCCCGGGGCUACGCAGAGGAGAAAGCGAGGGCCAAGACGGCCACGCCCUACACAAUUCUAUCACUAGCCCGUACCCAAAACAAUAGCCAUUCUAUUCGAUCUUGCUAAGCCCUUCUUCCUCCUCUACACACAAAUAUUUUUCUAGAUUCAUGGAGGCAAUCUCCUCCACGUCAUUCCCAAGGUGCUGAUAGGUAUAUGAUUUCCUGUAUUUUUUUUAUCGCCACCGAUGAACAGGUCAUAUGCUGGAGACGAACAGGUCUUGUAAGAGGAUGCGAUGAGAUUAUGAGCACAAUAAGCAGCCUCAUAUGGCCAUGUCCGUUGAGACGACAAACAUGUCGUCUCCUGCUCCAUUUUACAGGUUUCACAAGAUGGCAAACAGGGUCUUGCACGAGACAUACCCUUCCGAAGGGAGGCAUGCGAUCAUGAGCACGGCAUGCGACCCUAUAUGGUCAUGACCGGAGAGAUGAGGAAAAUACCAUCUCACGCUCCAUUUUACUGGUUACCCUGAUGAGAGAUGAACAGGUAUUGCAUGCGACGUGCUCUUGAGAAGAAAGCGCGGCGAUGAGAUCAUGAGCUCCCUCUAUCUUUAUAGUUAACGCUCGAUAAUACUGCGCACAGUUGCCUCUGCUGCUCCCCUUGAGCUCCCUCUAUCUUUUGUAGUGACCACUUCUUCUUGCGUAGGUAAGCCAUUCGGAUUUUAGUGUAUACAAUCUCUCCUCUCAGCUACUCAGGUAGUUCUUCUUUCUCAUUAUCAAUGAAUAAUCUGGUUACAAAAUAUGCUUGAAGAUUGCAACACAGAAAAAUUGCCUGGCAGACUAAAAUAAUUAGGAGCUUCUGAUUGGACCCUUCAAGCAAUAGUGUUGUUAAUAUGUUAAUUAUUAGAUUAUGUUACUAGAUUAGAAGAACUCCCUGAUAUAUGUAUCUAUAGGAUUCUUUGCUAUUUGAUGCAAAAUGUUGAUGGCCCGGCACUAUACUGAGCCGGAGUAAAAUUUUCAGUUUUUCUUCUUGUGGUCAGUACCGGAACCUAUAAAGGAUGUUAGCUUCUGAUUGGACCCUUGCUGAUUCAUUUGGACCACAAUAUCAGAACCCAGGUUGGUACAACACCACUUUGCAGUUUGUUCGCGGGGGUCCGUCCCCGUUUUCCAGGUCAAGGGGGACGCCCCUGCGGAGCCAGCAGCCCUUCCCCCACGUUCCUUCAGGCGCGGGUGGAGGUGUUCCCUCGAGGAGAUCGCCAUCGCGGAGCGCGAGCGGGCCACGGGCGCCCCUCCCCUCGCCGUCGGCCAUGGUGGGUCCUCCUCGUCCGGCGGCGCACCGGGCGGUGAUCGCGCGCCCCCUCCCCGUGCCGUCCGACAAGGGCAAGUCUCCCGUCCCCAGCGGGGGCUCGGGGAGCCCGUCUGGUGAUCGUCAGCGCGGCGGGCGCGGUCGCGGCCGCGGGCGUGGCCGUGGGCAUCCCGGGGCGUCCUCCAGCUCCAACGGCGGGCGCGGUCAGCAGGCGCAGCAGCCUAGGAUGGGCUACUUUGCGCCCUUCGGUGCCCCGCUGCCAACUCCGCAGCAGUGGCGCGCAACCUGGACGCCGCCCAACGCCACGGGAGUUCUCGGCCCCCGCCCCGGCGCUCCCCACCAAGCCUACCCCGUCGUCGGCUCGUCCUCCUCCGCCCCUCAGUGGGAUCAGCAGGCGCUGCUUGCCAUCCAGUUCGCCAACAUGCACGUGCAGCAGCCGCCCUCCGGGUCCGAGUGGUACAUGGACACCGGAGCAACCUCGCACAUAGCUGGGACGUCAGGUACCCUCACCACUGUCUCCCCUACAUCGCGUUAUUGUCCAUCUAGCAUUACUGUUGGCAAUGGUUCUGUGCUUCCUGUCGUUGCAUGCGGUUCCACCUCUCUUCCCCCCUUUCAUCUCACUGACAUACUUAUCUCGCCUGGCAUUAUACAAAACCUUAUUUCCAUUCGCCGUUUUACCCGUGAUAAUUGGUGUAUUGUGGCUUUUGACCCCUUUGGCUUCUCUGUGAAGGACAUGGCAACGGGGAAGGUCCUCAUGAGGUCCAGUAGUUUCUUCCGAAUAAUAAUGGCGGCUCUCGGGCGUUCUCUGUUUCAAGCAAUGGCGACUUGUGGCACUUACGGCUUGGCCACCCCAGUCGUGUUUCCCUUUCCAUUUUAGCUUCAAACUUUCUUGAUUCAUGUAAUAAUCACUCUCAAGGUUCUCCUGUGUGUGAAUCUUGUAAAAUUGGCAAGCAACCACGUUUACCUUUUGCUCGUUCUACUUCUCGUACCACUGCACCCUUCCAGCUUAUUCAUUGUGAUUUAUGGACGUCUCCUGUGUGUAGUUUUUCCGGUUAUCAGUAUUACCUUAUUGUGCUUGAUGAUUACACACAUUUUUCUUGGGCUUUUCCUCUACGCAACAAAAGUGAUACCGCUGCCACGCUACAACGUUUCUUCUCAUACGUCCUCACCCAAUAUAACCUCUCUAUCAAAUGUGUGCAGUGCGACAACGGCGGGGAAUUUCUUUCCCACUCCCUACGCGACUACUUCUCUCACCUUGGCGUCUCCUUCCGCCUCUCCUGCCCUCAUACAUCGCCGCAAAACGGCAAGGCCGAACGGCUCUUGCGCACCACUAACGAUGUUCUACGCAUGCUACUCAUCCACGCUCAUAUGCCGCCUGAGUACUGGGUCGAAGCUCUUCACACUGCUAACCACCUCAUCAACCGUCGCCCUUCCUCCGCUGUCAAUCAGCUCACGCCAUAUUUUCUUCUUCAUGGUCAUCACCCUACCUACGAUCAUUUGCGUGUGUUCGGGUGCUUGUGUUUCCCCAACCUCACCCACCUAGCUCCCCACAAGCUCGCCCCACGCUCCACUCCCUGCGUGCACCUUGGCUACCCGCUAGAACACAAGGGCUACCGCUGCCUCGACCUCCGUACCCGGCGCGGUUACAUCUCACGACACGUCGUCUUCGAUGAAGGCAAAUUUCCCUUCGCCACCCACGAGCCCACAGCUACGCCAGCCACACCAGAUCCCGCUCGCCCCUGCCAAACCCGAUCCUACCUACCUCGUACAAUCCACCCUAUGCAGUUGCGGGAUCCGCACCGCCGAUUCCUGUGCCGCGCCCCACCCCCGCACCACCUGGCCCCGCGCCUUAUCCGCCUCACGCCAACCCCGCCGCACCACCUGGCCCAUCCACACCACGCGGUACCCCUCGCUCUGCGCCCCGAAUCGCUCAUGUCGUUGUCCUGUCUCCUCCUGCGCCGCGCCUCCCCUCGGAUCACGCGCCUAGCCCAGCCCCACCACUUCCCACUCCUGCCCGUCCGCCCGGAUCUUCCUCGGGCGCCGCGCCAGCCAGUCCCGCCGCGCCAGCUCCACCUCGUCUACCCCCACGGGCCGUCCGGGUACAGCCACCCGAGAACUUGCACCCCAUGCACACACGUUCAAAAUCCGUUUUUUCUCUCCCAAAGCAGCACGUUAGUCUCUCCGUCACCACGCCCAUCAGCCCCAUUCCCUCUUCCUACCGCGCUGCACUUAAGGAUCCGAACUGGGCCGCUGCUAUGCUUGAUGAAUAUAAUGCGCUGUUGCGGAAUGACACUUGGUCAUUGGUCUCUCGUCCUGCAGGUGCUAACGUGGUGAGCGGCAAAUGGAUUUUUGGGCACAAGUUCAACACGGAUGGCUCCUUGGCACGGUACAAGGCGCGCUGGGUGCUUCGCGGCUUCACCCAACAGGCCGGGGUCGACUACGGCGAGACGUUCAGUCCCGUCGUGAAGCCGGCCACUGUUCGCGUCAUCCUCAGCCUUGCCACCAGCAGCUCGUGGCCUAUACAUCAACUCGACGUCAAGAAUGCCUUCCUCCAUGGGCAUCUCGCCGAGACGGUGUACAGCAUGCAACCUGCCGGCUUCGUCGACGCGGCGCGCCCCCGAGACGUGUGUCGUCUCCACCGGUCGCUCUACGGGCUCAAGCAAGCCCCGAGGGCGUGGUUCUCGCGGUUCACUUCGUACCUCUCCACCCUCAGGUUCCAGGCCUCCAAGGCAGACUCCUCCCUUUUUUCGCUUCAUCGCGGUACUGACACGGCAUAUCUACUCCUUUACGUAGAUGAUAUUAUCCUCACUGCCAGCACUCCCGCCUUUCUCCAGGCCAUCAUCGCUUCUCUGCACUGUGAGUUUUCUAUGACAGACAUGGCUUCGCUCCACCACUUCCUCGGCAUAAAUGUCCACCAUACUUCUAGUGGUCUCCACCUCUCCCAGGAGCAGUAUGCGCUCGAGAUCUUGGAUCGCGUCGGCAUGCUCAAUUGCAAACCUGUCUCCACCCCGUCGACACCACCUCCAAACUAUCUGCCACCGACGGGCCCGCUUUCCAUGAUCCAUCCCUCUACUGCAGUCUCGCCGGUGCCCUCCAGUACCUUACACUCUCUCGGCCGGACUUGUCUUAUGCCGUGCAACAGUGUUGUCUAUUCAUGCAUGAUCCCGGGGAUGCUCAUUAUCAGAUGGUGAAGCGGAUCCUCCGCUAUGUUCGCGGGACAACUCACCUCGGCCUGCACUUCUUCCGCUCCGCCACGACUAACCUGACGGCGUACUCGGAUGCGGACUGGGCGGGGUGCCCGGACACCCGCAAGUCCACAUCCGGGUUUGCGGUGUACCUCGGCUCCAACCUCGUCAGCUGGUCCUCGAAGCGCCAGACCACCGUCUCCCGGUCCAGCGCGGAGGCCGAGUACAGGGGCAUCGCCAACGCUGUCGCCGAGGCGUCCUGGCUGCGCCAACUCCUCGCCGAACUUCGCCGACCGCCAUCGCGCGCCACCGUCGUCUACUGCGACAACAUCUCCGCCAUGUACAUGUCGAGCAAUCCCGUUCAGCACCAGCGGACGAAGCACAUCGAGAUCGACCUGCACUUUGUACGGGAGCGUGUCUCUCUCGGCGAGGUGCGUGUCCUGCAUGUGCCGACCACGUCGCAGUUCGCCGAUGUCUUCACCAAGGGGCUGCCCACGAGCGUGUUCGUCGACUUCCGCUCCAGCCUCAACGUUGGCGAAUACCACGCUUCGGCUGCCGGGGGGGGGGGGGGUGUUGGAAACGUGACAUGCACACCCAUGUGUACAACGAGUUGGGCCGAGUCCUACGGCGCCCGCGCUCCCGCGCACGUCGCCUCCGCCCACGUAGUCACGAUUGGCAUUAUCCUCGGAUCAGUUGUAACAGUAGACUAGGACUCCUCGAGGUUUCCCGUGUAUAUAAACUCUUGUAACCCUGCGAUGAUGAAUACACACAGAGUCCUUCAUCCUCUUACUUGCAUUCACCUGUGUCCAGAGAGACAUGGCACUGUCGGACAAAUGCAACAGUGUGUAGGAACCAAAGGCAUGUUGGGGAAAGUUCAGCAGACCUCAUGCUGCAGCUAAGCGACUUUGUACCGCGGAACAAAACUGCAAAGUGGUGUUGUACCAACCUGGGUUCUGAUAUUGUGGUCCAAAUGAAUCAGCAAGGGUCCAAUCAGAAGCUAACAUCCUUUAUAGGUUCCGGUACUGACCACGAAAAGAAAAACUGGAAAUUUUACUCCGGCUCAGUAUAGUGCCGGGCCAUCAACAUUUUGCAUCAAAUAGCAAAGAAUCCUAUAGAUACAUAUAUCAGGAAGUUCUUCUAAUCUAGUAACAUAAUCUAAUAAUUAACAUAUUAACAACACUAUUGCUUGAAGGGUCCAAUCAGAAGCUCCUAAUUAUUUUAGUCCGCCAGGCAAUUUUUCUGUGUUGCAAUCUUCAAGCAUAUUUUGUAACCAGAUUAUUCAUUGAUAAUGAGAAAGAAGAACUACCUGAGUAGCUGAGAGGAGAGUUUGUAUACACUAAAAUCCGAAUGGCUUACCUACGCAAGAAGAAGUGGUCACUACAAAAGAUAGAGGGAGCUCAAGGGGAGCAGCAGAGGCAACUGUGCGCAGUAUUAUCGAGCGUUAACUAUAAAGAUAGAGGGAGCUCAUGAUCUCAUCGCCGCGCUUUCUUCUGAAGAGCACGUCGCAUGCAAUACCUGUUCAUCUCUCAUCAGGGUAACCAGUAAAAUGGAGCGUGAGAUGGUAUUUUCCUCAUCUCUCCGGUCAUGACCAUAUAGGGUCGCAUGCCGUGCUCAUGAUCGCAUGCCUCCCUUCGGAAGGGUAUGUCUCGUGCAAGACCCUGUUUGCCAUCUUGUGAAACCUGUAAAAUGGAGCAGGAGACGACAUGUUUGUCGUCUCAACGGACAUGGCCAUAUGAGGCUGCUUAUUGUGCUCAUAAUCUCAUCGCAUCCUCUUACAAGACCUGUUCGUCUCCAGCAUAUGACCUGUUCAUCGGUGGCGAUAAAAAAAAUACAGGAAAUCAUAUACCUAUCAGCACCUUGGGAAUGACGUGGAGGAGAUUGCCUCCAUGAAUCUAGAAAAAUAUUUGUGUGUAGAGGAGGAAGAAGGGCUUAGCAAGAUCGAAUAGAAUGGCUAUUGUUUUGGGUACGGGCUAGUGAUAGAAUUGUGUAGGGCGUGGCCGUCUUGGCCCUCGCUUUCUCCUCUGCGUAGCCCCGGGGGCGGCCGCCGCCGCCGCCGCGCGCGUGUGUGAGCAGCCUGGCGGCCGGCUGUGCGUGUGUGUGCGUGAGCAGCCUGACGGCCGGGUGUGUGCCUGUCCCCUCCUCCCGUAGAUGGAUGGAUGUGUAUAGGGAUCCUCUAGGGCAAAGCAGCCGAAGGGUUAGAUGGAGGCAAUCCAUCGGCCCGUUGGCGAGCUAGCAUCUCCCGUGCGUCAGUUCCUUUCUUUUCGCUGGACUCAGCUACAUGCAAUGCUUAUCCCAACAUCCAGCUUUACUUACUUACUAGUAGAGUGCCCGUGCGUUGCCACGGGCUCUUGAAAAAAUUUACAAGAGUUACCUGUUAAAUUUCACAUGCACAAACAAUAUAACACAAACACAAUUACUGAAUAAUUGAAGUCCAUUUUACAAUGAAAAUUGAUACCAAAAAGAAAGACUAACGACAUUUAUCACAUGCCUCGUAGAUGGUCUGGAGCAAGCAUGCAAUAUAUGUAAGCAUUUAUCACUUGUAGUCAACAUUUAGAUUAUAUAUAUAUAUAUAUAUAUAUAUAUAUAUAUACGAUAUUAUAUUUCGUUGCAAUUAUUAAUUACAAAGUUUAUGUAGUUGGUCUUACACCAUCAUGUAAGAACAUAUCAUCUUUCAAAAGGCAUUCCAAAUCGUCCGUUGAUAAUAAGAUGUCCACGAACAAGGUUUUCUUGGGGGCAGACAUGAUUGAUUCGAUGACUGAAAUAUCUCUAGGGGUACAAACAUAGUCUGUCGACGUCAUAAAAAAGUGAGCCAACUUAGACAAUAAAAUGAGCCAAAUUAGUUGAAUACAGAAGGCAAUUUCACAAAGAAAAUAUUGAUAAUAACAUCAAAGAAAUACCUUGUGCGAUAACAUUUAAAUUGGCAUCUUUUUUUGUUUGUUAUGAGAUAUCACCGCUUCGACAUCAUUAUGUUGUAAAAAACUCGAUGAAUUUAUUGUCCCUUUCAGCAACUUCGCAUCGGAACCCUCAAUGGAUUCUUUUUGUGCAUAUCCAAAGUCCAUAUCCAUGUCUCCUAUAUUCUGGAGAAACAAUAAUAUACAAAAAUAUACCUUUCGUAUUUGCAUGUACAAUAUACAUACCGAGGAAGGUUAGCUAUAUGCACCUCUUCUCGUGGUGUUUCAGUGCGGUCUGUCAUCGUUACAUCAGUGCAUAUGUCGGAACCCAUCACUUUGUAUUUACGAUGAAAUAUAUAUGAUCAAAUAUAAAUGAUAUUUUCUACUGCAUAAUACUCCCUCCUAUUUUUUUAGUCUACGCAUAACUCACAUCACGCAUACCAAGGAGACCUACUUGUAAAAAAAUUUUGGACGAAAUUGCCCCAGUGCUAGUUGAAUUGCAGCGACCAGGAAAGCUAGGAAGCUAUGAUCACCGGAGCCAGUUAUUGGCCCGUCCUCCUCGUUUCCUCUGCAUGGCUGUUAUUGGCCCAUUCUCCUUUGCAUGCGCCGUAUGCGCGGUCAGUAAUUAAUGCACAGGAGGAAGUAGCGUUGCAUGCGGGGCUGAAGUUUAGGAUAGACUUGGAAGAAACCGCUACAAAUCAGGAUCGCGCAUAGUAUUGCGGAAAAAACAAGAAAAACUUAUGCGCAGAGUAAAAGGGAUCGGAGGAGUAUAAUCAUAUAUAAUAUCUGGAAAAAAUAAAAGUGAAACUGACACAACUAUUUUCUCUAUAAAAAAACAUAGUUGACAUUAUUAAGAAAAUAUGUUGAUUAAAUAUUUGUACUAACACAAAAUUUGGGGAAAACAACAAACUGUAAUGUUCAUAUAUAAGUAAAUAGUCAUAUGAAAAUUAUUUAAAUUAUUAAUAUAGGCCAUGGAAAAUUGUCCAACAAAAGUAAAAAAAUAUGCAAACAAACCUUCUUCAACCAAGUAUAUUUGUUUUUUCUCUCAAUUUUAUUGUGAUACCCUUAGUAUAUGAAAGGUAAUUAUAAAAUAUAUUUAUUUUUAUGAACCAUAUUUUAUUUAUAUAUAUAUAUAUAUAUAUAUACAUUUUUGUUUCUGUGAGGUAUGUAUACUUUUAAUAUCUAUUUUUUGUCAUAAAUUCCCACACAUGCGAGUUUAGAAUUUCUAUCGUUGAGCAAAAUUUUCACACAAGGCCCAAAUUAGAUAUCCCCUAAAAAAUAACUAUAAAAGAAAUUACCUUAUCCACAGUAUAUACUUUUUGAGGGAUUACAAUAUACCUGGACAAAUUGGCCGGGCCCGGCCCGGCCAGGAUUACACGGGCCAGGCACGACACUUCCCAGCCAGGCACGCGUGCUGGCCUCCCCGGCCCAGGCACGGCAAAGCUGCCUCACGGGCCGGCUCGACGGCCCACCUGGCACUCUGGCCUCUGGGCUCACUGGCCACCCCUCGCCUUUUCCCCUUCCCCCACCGCAUCCCAACCCUAACCCCACUCACUCACCACUCUCCCCUCCACUCACUCACUUCCUCUCGCACUUUACCCUCCCCCGCCGCAUCGCCGCGUGCCUCGACGAGCCGGCCCGCGUGACUCCGCCCGCCAACCGCCGAUCUGUCACAUGUCGCGGCAGAUAUUGGGGCUCACUCACCGGUCCUCUCCACUCACCCACCACCUCUCGCCCUCUCCCCUCCCCCCACCGCAUCGCCGCGCGAGUCGCCGAGCCCGCAUCUGCGCGACUCCGCCCGCCGACCACCGCAUCAGUCCCAUGCCGCGGCCGGUCUUAUGGCUCAUUCACCUCUCUUCUCCACUCUCUCCAACAUCUCGGCCAUCUCCCCUCCCCCCGCUGCAUCGCCGCGUGCGUCAACCGUGCGACUCUGCCCACCGACCAACGCAUCGGUGCGGCUAGGGGCUCCGAUGAGCUGUGUGCGGCGCGACCAACGAGGACGGGCGCAGCGAGCUUACUGAAACGGGCGUCGGUGCUCGGUCUGGUCCCGUUCCCCUCGCAUCCGCGGCGGUGUUCGUCUCCGGCGAGGUGGUAGGUGGAUCCGAAGCGCGGAGGGGGGAAUCGCUGGGAGGUGGAGGAAGGACGAAAAAAAACCAUGAUAGGUGGGACAAAAAUUAACCGUAGAACGGAAACUACCAACUGAGACAUUAGGAGUAGAGAUAAACUCUAUAAAAAUCAAUGAAAAAAUUAGCGCGUUAUAACAACAUAGGAGCAGCCUUAAAAUACGCUAUUAGCAUGCUAUAUCGCACUAUGGCAUUCUAUUAGAGAGGCAGUGUACAUUGAUUUAUGUAGGUAGACAAUUCUAUAGUGUGCUAUUAGCGGUGCUUUUUUCAGUGAAAAAUACAUUACAAAUAUAUUAGUAGUAGACUCAAGGAAGCAUCAAUACAUUUGUCAACAUGCAUUCCCUUGAAUGGUAGCUUAACAACCCAUCACAAAAUGGUAGUUACGGAAGAUGUAUGCAAGAGGAGACGACAACAUGUAAUCAAUUUAAAACACAAGUAUAAGAAUUAUACUCUGCUUUAGUGCAAGCCAUUCAAAAAGCAUACUUGAUUCAAGUUUGGAUAUGAGAACACCGUGACAAAAAGCAUGCGUCGAUGCCUCACCGUGCACCUCUCCUAGUCUCCCUUUCCUCCGUACAUUUUUCGCAUCCUCAAUUCCUCCUAGCGUUCCUUCAAACAAGAAAAUGAGAAGAUAUUUUUUUCAAGGGGCAUCAACACAGAACCAUGACCUUCGCAUCUUCUUGAAGACUAUUGGCGAGUGAACCUUCAUGCGGAGCCAUGUUUUCCAUUUACAGCGUCCUCCGCCCUGGCCUAUAUCACAGAAGUUCUUUUCCAUCAACCUACAAUGCCAUAUAACAAGAUGAUUUAAGAAUGAACAUGUAAGUAUUCCUAGCAUGAAAAGCAUAGCAAAUUCGAGUGCCAAAACAUAACAGUGAAGUUGUACACUUUCAUGCGGAGUUGAGAUUCAAUACAAUGCCAGAGCUCUAUCUUCAGCGAACUGGUAAUAUGAAAAUAUCGGUACCAAAAAUAUAAUCGUGAAAUGGUGAGUACGAACUUAACUUUGGAUGUUCAGUGCCAAUUAUGAUGCCCAACUCAGUUGAUGUUACCACGGAGAAUUAUAUAACAAGCAUUGAGCGUUAAAUAGCUUGAAACCUUAUACUUAAGGUCACUUGUCUAUCUGAUUGUAAAUGACAGGAUGCAAUAUUACAUUAUCAUUACUUAAUUGAAGAAUAUAAUUAUAUUUGCGAUUGUUAUUAAAGCAAUCUUCAUACACAAAUUCUAGAUCAUCAGAUUUCUCUUUGUAUAGAAGGUCCUAAAAUCAGUGAGCGCUAGAAACUUUAGGCAGAAAAUUGUCGCGAGGGCAUACAAAUUGAAGUAUAAUUUGAAGAAUCCACCCGGGAAACUACAACCAGGAACCAUUUUAUUUCGGCUUCAGUUCCUAAUUUUUUUAAUAUUGACUAUCUAGUGUGGAAAAGAGUGAUUUAUAACCUCUGUGUCCAUAUCGGUAUGUCCCAGUUUCAGUCGUCAUCAUUUCAGUUACAGUUUCCUCUCGUGCAAGCCCCAAAUCAGUAAGCUUCAGCUUCUUACGGUUUGUAGUAAGCAAAAAAUUAUCUGCCCACACAAAACUUUUAUUAGGACAUCGUAAAAGCAUAAAAAGUGUGACAGAGCAGCUCUGACAUAAAGGGAAAAAACAACUACUGGAAGAAGCUACAAGGUAAAGCAAGCAAAACAAAAUGGUAAGACUGAUAGGGAUAAAGAAACAAAUCAUGAGUGAACCAUGAACAGGUACUAUAGCAAAGCAGAUACCAUGGAUGUGAAAUCAGGAAAAUUUUAGAUGAUUAACGGACCAACUACUGAAAAUCAAAGAAGCUGAACCAAAAAGAAGAAACUAAAAACAAUACCUUCGCAAGUAGUCAUUCAUUUUUGAAUGUUAGAAGGGAGAGAAAGAUUGGUGGAAUAGUUGUUGUAUUGCUUGAGCCUCGUGGGCAUAUAUAUAGGAGUACAAAGACCAACUUGGAGUACAAGACAAGGCAGGACCGAAUCCUAGUCUAUCCUAUACUUCCUAAUUAUCAAUAUACUCAACAUCCCCCCGCAGUCACAACGAUAGCGAUGCAGACGGUGAGACUGGAGAAGAAUCCGAAGGCAAGCCGACGAACACCCCCCACAGUCGUAACGGUCGACGCAUCGCGGAGUCGUGGCUGGAGUGAAAACCGACGAGGUUGCUCAAGCAGGCGGUAGCCCUUUGUGCCGUUUGUCGAUGUAGCCGAGAGCGUGUGUGGUGGAGCCGUGGUCGAGGUAGCCGUGCGAAGAAUGCCGUGGUCGAUGUCGAGUCGGGGUGGCCGGUGUCGAGGAAGUCGCCGUGGAGCCGCGGGCGCAAGGGGGCGCCGAGUUAGUCGUGGGCGCAGUGGUGUCGAAGUAGUGGUGCGCCAGGACGGAGAUGAUGUUGACGACGCGUCGCGCCGGGGUUGCCAACCCUGGGGACACAUCGUAGACGAAGGCACGCGUCGGUGUUGCCAGCACCGGGCAUGCGUAGACGGACGAAGACGAAGUUGACGAAGCGCCGCGCCAGGCUUGCCAGGCCCGGGGACACAUCGUGGACGAAGGCACGCGACGGUGUUGCCAGUACCGGGCGUGCAUAGACUAGGACCUGCACAAGCUGUACGCCAUGUCGAAGAAGUCGGAGAGGCCAGCAGAGAAGGACUCGACGACGGUUGCGGCGCCAAUCGGCACGGGGCCAAUGUCGCCCGCGGUUGUCGGAGUAGAUGAAGUGAUCGGGGUAGAUGACGGCGACGCUGGCGACGAGCUGGUGCUGGACGAAGACGAAGGGGGUGGACGGGCGGCGGCGGCGGCUACGAAGGUAGCGGCGGCGGCGGCCAAAGAAGAGCGGCAGCGGCGGCCUGAAGGCGGCGGCGGCGGCUAGGUUAGCAGUGCGGCGGCGGUGCUCGAAGUAGGCGAAGAACCCUGACAGCGUGACGAAGACCGGCGCGGACGGUGGUGUUCCCGCGCCAAGGGAGACGGCGCGGCGCAUACCACGGGAGAUCGAGUUGCGGUGACGGCGGAGUGGACCGCGGGCCGCGGCGCUACGAUCCAAAGGGGCGACGCAGCGGCGGCAGGCGGAUCGGGGCGAUGGUGGGAAGACCUCGGGGCGGCAGCGGGGACCGCGGGCCGCGACGCUGCGGCCCGAAGGGGCGACGCAACGGCGGUUCGCGAGUCGGUGCAACCGCAGGGACGGCCUCGGGAUGGCGGCGUGGACCACGGGCCGCGGCACUACGGCCCGAAGGGGCGACGCAGCGGUGACGCGGGUCGGUGCAACCGGGAGAAGAACCACGGGGCGGCGGCGCUGCGGCUACGGGGGUAGCGCAGCGGCAGCCCGUUGCUCGAUAGACGGAGGGGCGCGCUGAACUCGGAGACGAUCUUCACGGGACCUGCCAAGGUGCGCGUAACUGACGGGCCAGGUCGGUCGCGCGGCGUAGAUGAGGCGGAUCGCGGCGGCGAGCGGGUGAUCAAGCCGAUCGCGCGCGAGGUCGGGGACACCGCUCGGUGAAGGCGUGGUGGCGGCGGAGUCCGAGAUGAAGUCGGCGGCGGCGGGCGGCAGGGCGGCUAUGAUUGGCCGCCGCAUGGCGCGAGGCCGCCGGGUCGGGGUGAUGCAGGAGUCCCGGUCGGAGCAGGCGGUGACGGCCGGCGUAGAUCGACGGGCGGGCCGGCGCGCGAACGGCGGCGGUGAAGGGCCGCCGCAUGACGCGAGGCCGCCGGGUCGGGGCGACCGGCGGGUAGGCCGCCGGGUCGGUGAAGACGUCGGUGUAGUCGAUGCCGAAGUCGGAGUAGAGGCGCACGGGGUCGACGGCGGCGGUGGGCGACGCAAACCGGAUCACAAAGACCGGAAAACCAAAAAGUAGACGCCGAUCAAAGCGACCGGCGAGAGAGAAAACCCGGAUCAAAGGAUCGGGAAAAAGACUCUCUAGGGCAGCGGGCCAACAUGGCCGGCGGACGAACCCUAGGUACGGGCGGCGCGGCCCCCGGCGGCGGUCAUGGAGGCCGACCGCCCCGGGGGCGACGCGCGGGUGCGGAAGCGGCGGCGGCUAGGGUUUAGGAUCGACUUGCGAUAGAUACCAUGUUAGAAGGGAGAGAAAGAUUGGUGGAAUAGUUGUUGUAUUGCUUGAGCCUCGUGGGCAUAUAUAUAGGAGUACAAAGACCAACUUGGAGUACAAGACAAGGCAGGACCGAAUCCUAGUCUAUCCUAUACUUCUUAAUUAUCAAUAUACUCAACAUUGAAACCAGAUGCUAUGACGAUGAGGUGCAAAAGGUGAAACAAAUAGUACCCACACAAAUAAGAAAAGAGUGUUCUAUUGAAGUGUCGUAAAUAGUUAAAAGCAGAUGCCUCUAACCCACUUGAUUCUACAAGUAAAUAAGCAACAGAUCUUACUGUUGAAUGCAAUGGUUGGUAUCCAAACGGGAAAAGGGUACAUCGUCUUUAACCUGUUGACGCUAUGACAGAUUUAAUCACCAUUAGAAACAAUCCUGAUUAGAAAUGCAUUAGGAUUUCUAAUAAACCCCAUGAUACAGCAAAUUGGUAUUAUGAACCAAAAUGUUUAGAAAUCAUGUAAUUCUACCGCAACAAAUUUAUUAUGAAUAUUGAACAUAUUAAGGAGAAGUGUCUUGGCAAAAAUAGAAUAAAGCAUUCAGGAUAAGAAUCUCACCUGCCAAUGGAACCUAAUACAAUAAAUAUAGGUAAAGAUGAAUAAAAACUUCCCAUGGCAGUGCUCCAAGUCAUCAUGAUUUGCACACAGAGAGUCGGGCCCAUUGCCUCCGCGUCUGCUCCCAGCUCCAUCACGGACCGCCACCAUAUCCCGCGGCAACUCCAGCGGCGUCCCUUCCGAUCGGGGGCGACCACAUCAGCGCCCAGCACAAGCAGCGCACACACGGACGUCCCCGCCACGACGUGCAACAACAUCAGGCCAUCGGCGGCGGUGCGGGGCCUCCACAUUGGCGUGCAGCUCGAGCAGCCCAUGCACAACUCGGGCUAAAUACCCAUGCCUUGCCACUUGAUGAUAAAUAAAGUAUGGGUUCUUUAGUUAAUAUAUUUAAUCAAAUACACCGAGUACAAUAUAUGUUCAGUUUUAUCACAUCUCAUAUAUACAUUAUUGAUCUCAUCAAACAUUUUUGAAUGUUAACAUACAUAAACAAAAGGUCAUAUCGUAACACCGAACAUACAUACAUGAAUGUUAGCACUGUCACUGUCCUAGGGGUAAAGAAUCUGGGUUGUUUCGUAAUGAGUCUCGCCACUUUCGUCUGUUCCUGUGGUUACUCUCAUAAUCAUAGACAAUCUAUUUUUGGAAUGAUCGGGACGGUGUUGCAAUUACGCAUGUCAAGAGAAAGCUGAUCAGAUGCCAUAAGCCCAUAAUCAUGUACGAAGAUGAGACUUAGAACGUGCCUUGCACUACAGUGAAAAUUUUUACCUCUCAUAUUUGCAGACCCAAUGGGUAAUAAGUAAUCCCAUAUGCACCCUUUUUCCAAGACACAUCAUGGUCGCCAGCACGCUUGCCUUCCUCACGCACACUUCUUAGUUUUGGCUCCACCACUGGCAAUAUUUAGUGAAUACAAAAAACACUAACCUAAAAUAGGUAGGCUUGAUUCUUCACUGCAGAGAAUAAUUUGGAGGUAUUAGCAAAGACAUGUACCCCAUAAUUUUGCCUGACAUAAUGGUGUGAGCAUUAGAAACAUUGAAACAAGAGUCUGUCAAUUCAGUAAACUCAUAAGACCAAGCAGAAUGACAUUUCCAGGACGCAGUUUUGUUGUUGCCUUUCCUAGUCAAACUUCCAGGACGCCACAGGCUACUGUACAUAUAGAGAUAGACAUUAACCUGCACAACUCAAUAGGUAUACUCGACAUGGCCCCGCACAACUCAAUAUGUGUGCUCUCAAAAUAGAAAAGGAAAGUAAAGACAUGUACAUGGAUUCAUUCAUGGAGUUGAAUAGUCAAAGAUAGAUAUAACUGAACCAAAAAAGAA
rnacentral:lncRNA from 1 species